rnacentral:lncRNA from 1 species
AUUAGGAUGCUAGGCUAAAUUUGAGAACAUUGCUGUACCUACCGAAUUUUUUUAUCGAAUUUUUUACUUACCAUUUAUAACAUGGGUGGAGACCACAGGCUGUCAUUUUUAAAUUCAUGCGGAGCUCACCAUUCAUUGUAAGAGGGGGAACGCCAUUCGAUCCCCCUCUGUACAUAUAUAUUUAUCCUAAAUUUGAAAACCAUGUUUUGGCAACAUUUAAGCUUAGCCCAACAUGCUCUGAUAAAAUAUAUUCUAACAUUGAAAUUUCCUUCCAAUUUGUGCCAAAGUCAAAAUAACUUAAUGAGCGUUUUUCGGCAAUACACAAGAACCGCGUUUUUUGCGUUAUUAACUUUUCAGCGUUGAUUGAGAGGUCAACCUUAUCAAACAAUUGAAUUAGCUAACGUGAAGAGCCUGAGGAUUGUGCUAUUUAAGUGCGACACAAAACAAAAAACAAUGCCAGUGAUUUUGGCCACUGCAAUCAGACCACCUAUUGCAAUCCCUAACAGUAUUACGCUACAAUCUGAAAGAUUUCAUAGUUUCAACAAUUUUUUUCACUUUCACAGAGAACUGUAUUUUCGAGGGAACGCUAUUUCCCGAAAAUUUGCUUUGUGGCCUAACAGAACCCUGAAUCCAAAAACCAUGAUAGAUUCGAUGAGAACCCAUGUGAGUACAAGGGAAAAUGGGGUUCAAUCUUUUGAACAGGAAGCUUUCAUUGAAGGGCCCUCUGAUUCUGGAGCUGUUGGGCUCGAAGGGACUCUCAAUAGUUUGGUAAAUUGUCUAUUUGCAAUGAAAGUUUUAAUACGUUUAAUAUCUGUAUAUAGUAUGUUUAAUUUAGUAGGUUGUUAAUUUUAUUUCUGUAUCUGACUUGCGUGGUUAUAUGCUAUAAAAAUUCAUAUUUAAACUUCGAUCGAAAAGUGACUUGUGGUAUGGAUUCUCUUGUGAAAUAUUCCUCAGGGGUGGGGCGGGUGUGGGGGGUUCCUGGUUUCCCAUCCUACCAAUUGAACUUUAUGUGAGAUGGAGAUGAUGUCUGUAAUUUGGAAAGGAGAACGAGUUGAUAGUCAUUCCUAUAGUCAAGAUUUCGUUUCAAUCGAUUUCAAUUUUAGAACUUGAUAUCUCUAAAAAAAAUGUUUAAUCUGCUGAGUUUUAUAAUCUACUAUGGAAAAACUAAACUUGUUUGGUCUUCAUGAGUCUGUUUAGUUGCUCAAUUUUAGAUAACGGGGAAGGAAGGGAAGGAUUUGAAAAAUGCUAGAAAUUCUCUCAAUGUGAAUAACUUUAUUCGGAAAUUUAUGCAUCAUUUUGUGACAUUUUAUUUAAUUAUUACUUUGAAAAAUCAUGGUCUGAGUUGCUCGUCCAGAAUAGAGGAAUAUUUUUGAUAUUGGGAAACAAACAAUGGAAAAUGCACAUUUGGAUGGUCAGUUUUUAGUAAGUCUAUUUUUUUUCACUCAAUAUGUUACUUUUUGUAAGCUGAGUCUUAUAUGGUGCUUUAAAAUCCAAGAUCAAGGGGAGGAGUGGCUAAACAUUCACUUUCUCCCAAAAUGACAUGGGAGGCAAAUCACAAAACUUCAAAAAUCUAGAUCCACCACCCGACAUACCACCUUUACCCGGUGGAUUUCAACCCCAAACAACCAAAAAUCAUCCAGUACUCCAAGCCACAAUGGUUUUGGAAGCAAUAGAAUCAGAUUUAUAUGAAAACAUUGAAGGUACGAAUCCCAAUGUUUUCAAAACUCCACUCUACGCAUUGAAUCAGGGUCUGGGACCAUCACCAAUGAUUCCAGAAGGGUCGAAAACCCUAAACCCCAAACCCUAACCCUAAACCAAAACCAAAUCCUAAACAGCACUUUCUCUCUCUAACGCAAAAUGCUCUCCCUUCUCUCUAAAAUGGGAGACAAAUCACAAUUCUUCAAAAAUCUUGAUCCACCACCCGACAUACAACCUUUACCCGGUGGAUUUCAACCCCAAAAAACCCAAAAUCUUCCAGCACCUCAAGCUACAAUGGUUUUGGAAGCAAUAGAAUCAGAUUUAUAUGAAAAUGUUGAUGGCACAAAUCCCAAUGUUGUCAAAACUCCACUCUACGCAUUGAAUCAGGGUUUGCGACCAUCACCAAUGGUUCCAAAAGGGUCGAAAUCCCUAAACCCUAAACCAUAAACCCCAAACACCAAACCCUGAACCCUAAACCAAACCCUAAACCACACUUUCUCUCUCUAGCCCAAAACACUCUCCCUUCUCUCUAGAAUGCGAGACAAAUCGCAAACCUUCAAAAAUCUUGAUCCACCACCCGACAACCACCUUUACCCAGUGGAUUUCAACCCCGAACAACCUAAAAUCUUCCAGUACUUCAAGCUACAGUGGUUUCGGAAGCAAUAGAAUCAGAUUUAUAUGAAAAUGUUGUUGGCACGAAUCCCAAUGUUGUCAAAACUCCACUUUCCGCAUUGAAUCAGGGUCUGGGACCAUCACCAAUGAUUCCAGAAGGGUCCAAAUCCGUAAACCCCAAACCCUAAACCGCACUUUCUCUCUCUAUCCCAGAACGCUCUCCCUUCUCUCUAAAAUGGGAGACAAAUCACAGGCCUUCAAAAAUCUUGAUCCACCACCCGACGAAACACCUUUACCCGAUGGAUUUCAACCCCAAAAAAUCCAAAAUCUUCCAGCACAUCAAGCUACAGUGGUUUUGGAAGCAAUCGAAUUAAAAUUUAUAUGAAAUUGUUGAUGGCACGAAUCCCAAUGUUGUCAAAACUCCACUCUACGCAUUGAAUCAGGGUCUGGAUCCAUCACUAAUGAUUCCAGAAGGGCCGAAAUCCCUAAACCCCAAACCCUAAAACAAAACCAAACCCUAAACCGCACUUUCUUUCUCUAGCCCAAAACGCUCUCCCUUCUCUCUAAAAUGGGAGACAAAUCACAAACCUUCAAAAAUCUUGAUCCACCACCCAACACACCACCUUUACCCGAUGGAUUUAAACCCCAAACAGCCAAAAAUCAUCCAGUACUCCACGCCACAAUGGUUUUGGAAGCAAUAGAAUCAGAUUUAUAUGAAAAUGUUGAUGGUACAAAUCCCAAUUUUUUCGAAACUCCACUCUAGGCAUUGAAUCGGGGUCUGGGACCAUCACCAAUGAUUCCAAAAGGGCCAAAAACCCUAAACCCCAAAGCCCAAACCCUAAACCAAAACCACUCCCGUUUUAUGGUUCUAUUCAUGGAAAGUUUUUGUACUAAAGGCAUUUAUAUCCUAUCUGUGGGUUAGAAUUAUUGUUGUUCUGGGUGCUAUCGGAUUUGCUGUAGGAUUUAUUCGACAUGUUUACCUGACCUGGCUUCGAGAUGAAAACUGAAUUUAUAUUCUCAGAAAGUAUUAUGGCAACAAUCGUUCUCUUUUGUCCUGCAGAAUUCCGUUUAAUCUGGAUGAUAUUUGACCAUUGAAAUUCAUGACCAUUGUGUUCUUAUUUGUAAUCAUUGUUGAACCCCACUUGACAUGCACAAGAUGGAAUGUGAAUUCUUCGAGAUCCUUCCAUUCUUCAAACAGAAAAUGACAAAUAGAUUCAAACUGAUUCUAGAAUGUCUUUUUGAAUAUUGAAUAAAGCUGCAGAACCAAAGGUUCCAAUCCUGCCACCUCAGCCCCUGAUUUUGAAUGGGGCGGGCCCCAUGAAUUAAAGAUCAAGGGUCGAGGAAAUUGCCGCCUCGUAGGGAUGGCAAUCGGGCUCGCUGGCUCGGGCUGCCCGUGGCUCGGCUCGAGGCUCGGUAGCCCGAGCCUAGGUUCGGGCCAAGCCCCAUUUCGGGGACACGGGCUUUGCCCGAGCCGGCCCGUGAGUUCGCGAGCUUUUUAAUAAAAGAAAAAAAAAAUUAAAUUGAAGCCUUAAAAGGCAACAAAUCUGCUGCCUUAAAAGGCAGCAGAUUAGAAGAAGAACCCACAAAAAACAAAAAAAAAGGUGGAGAAAACGAGCCUGCCCGGCUCGGCCCGUUAAAAGUCCGAUCAAAAGCUCGGGCCGAGCCUAUUUUUUUGGCCGAGCUUUUUGCGGGCUCGAGGCCAAGCCCGAGCCGAAACUUUAGGCUCGCGAGCCCACUCGACCCGGCUCGUUUACAUCCCUAUCGCCUCGGGCCUAGAGCCAAUCCGGGGUUUUAAACCUGGGAUCUAAAGCAUCUCUCUUGAAUAUUUCAUGAUGUCUUGACUAUUCAAAUCAAGACAAUUUUUGAGUAAUCAAUGACUUUUCGAUGGAGAAUGGUCAAUAAUAGUUUCAAUUUAAUGAAUAAGGGAUCCAGGCUUUAAAAAUAGUGUUUUGUAUGAGCAGGGAAAAUCAAAUAAAUAUAAUCAUAUUAUCUGGAACUCAAAAAAAUAAAAAAUAAAAAAUAAAGAAUAAAGAAAUAGUCAAGAUUCAAUAACUUUACCCGAAAAUCAUUACUGUUUUAUGAUGACAACAAUCGUAAUAAAAUCUUGAAUAAUGCUACUUGUAUAUUAUGAAGUUAUGUAAUAAUUUACGUAUAGAUGAUGUUUAAAAAGAAAUUGGAAAAGAAUUUUAUUAUUAUUAUCAUUAUUUUCUUCAUUUGGUUGAAAAAAUUCUUAUCCAAUCAUAUCUCAUUAUAUCAUGUGUAUGUAAACCAUUAUGUACGUAUAGCAUAAUCGUAAAAUCUUUGUUUACUUAAUCUAUUACAAAAUCUUUGUCUUCUCUGGUUAUGUCACGAUCGACCUGUCUUUGCACACUUCUUUGCAACCGUGCACCUCUGGGAAAUAAAAAAAAACACUAGGAUAAGAGUCUUUGCACGCUUCUUUUUUCCCCCAGAAUUUGGUAAGCCUUCAAUAAGGAGAUCCAAUAACAACUAGGAAUUAAGACACUGCAAACGAGCUUUUAUCUAACAGAUUCUCUGCAUCAUUAGCAGUAAGGUCUUUCUAAUGUAGGUUCAGUCUUCCAAAUUCCAAAGGUCUGAUCAGAUGUAAACAUCCAAACAUUUCACAGUAGUUCCGUAAGGGAAGCACCACUAUGGGUAAAACUUACCAAAGAACAAACUCAACAUGUGCAUCUGUUCGCUUGCAGAGCACGAAUAAGUACAAAAACCAUUUUAAGAAUAAUGGCUUCAUCCUCAAUCUAACAGUACUUUAUGAGUGAUGCGGAUCCAAAUUGGUUGAGCAGCAUAAAAACAAGACAUUUGCUCCACAACAGUGUAUCCUCUUUCAAGGAAAAUGUCUUCAUGCUUUGUCAUGCCUUAUUGCCGCUUUACUAAAAACACCAGCAAACGAUGCAUCCAUUUGACAUUGUUGAAAAAAUGACUUAAAUCUCCUUCCAUUUGUUUACUUGAUAUCGGCGAGCCAUAUCAUCUCGAAGCAACAUUUCCAAUCAAUUUCGAUAAUCAUCCCUGAUGAUGAAGUUAACCUAAAACCAACUUUGUUGACAGUGUAUAUUGCAGUUUUCAAGUCUAAAUAUGACACCGAAUCUUCCUUCCUAUAUCACUGUGCGACUCUCCCAUGCUAGUCCAAAAGGAAAAGAGUUGCCAUGUAUGCAACAGUUUUCAUGAUGAAAGAUGCUGGUGUUAAUCUCCUGCAUCAUACAGGAAUAACGCAACUUCCUGUACAGCAAGAUCUGCUCUAAAGGCUACCAACUUCAAAAUAUUGUAUAUUUCUUCGCACUCUGGAUGCAAUCCAUCACCAGCAACGAACGCAGAAAUCUGAUUUUUGACCUUAAUCCAAGACCAACCAGGUUCUUUCAUAACACCUUUUGAUUUCAUGAGUUUCCUCAUGUCUGCUGCUUCCCUCCACUUCCCUCUUGAAGAAUAUAUAUUAGCCAAGGUUAUAUGAGUCCCAGCACAAUUUGGAUCCAAUUUAAGUAUCUGCUCUGCGGCACGCUUUCCACAUUCUACAUCUCCAUGUACUCUACUGGCUCUUAACAGAGUUGACCAUACGACAUCGUCCCGUUCAUACGGCAUGCUUCUUAUCAUUUUUUCUGCUUUGCGCAACUGUCCAGCUCUACAUAGAAGAUCAAUCAUGCAACCAUAAUGUUCUUUAGUAGGAUUUAUCUUGUACUCACUAGUCAUUGAAUCAAAAUACUGAAAGCCGAGAUCAACAAUUCCAACAUGACUACAAGCACUAAGGACACCAAUAAAUGUUACAGAGUCUGGCCUCAAACCAACCACGGGAAUUUUCUCAAAUAGAUCAAUUGCUUCUUGGCUGUAUCCAUGUUCAGCAUAUCCAUUGAUCAUGGCCGUCCAUGAUACAAUAUCAUCAUUCUCUGCUACCUUAAAUAUUUUAGAUGCCUCUCCUAUGCUCCCACAUUUUGAAUACAUGUUGAUCAGAGCACUUCGUGUCAUAGCUCUUUGAUCUAAACCAAUUGUAAGGACAUAAGCAUGAAGUUGCUUACCCUGAUCAAGAAUUGCCAUACUACCACAUACACUCAACCCACUAGAAAGAGCAAACUCUGUGGGGUUUGGUCCUUCUCUCCUCAUCCAUGAUAGAAGCUCAAAAGCCUUCUCUGUAAAACCUCCUUGAGCAUACCCGGCAAUAAUAGUACUCCAAGAAAUGAUGUCUCGCCUGGACAUUUCAGUGAAGACUAUUGAGGCCGACUCACAGUAUCCACAUUUUGAAUACAUUGUCAUGACAGAAUUUGCCACAGAUAAUGAGUCCAUGAGACCUAUAUGUAAAACAUGCGCAUGCAUUUGUUUUCCCCAAUCAAGUCUUGCAACAUUGGCAACACCAGAAAUCACAGCUGCAUAAGUAUACUCAUUAGGACAUACGUUCGACUCUCUCAUCUGCAGAAACGCAUCAAUUCCCUCCUUCUCUUGGCCCAUCUGGAUGUACGAUGUAAUUAUAGUUGUCCAUGAAACCACAUCCUGCUUAUUCAUUCUUUGAAAUAAGAACAAACCGCAUUGCGCUCUCUCACACUUAUUGUACAUGGUAGCAAGACUAUUGGCCACAUAUGAGGUCACAUCUACUCCAUUCUUCAUGGCUCGAGCAUGAAUUUCCUUCCCAGACUUCAAAUAUCUCAUAUCAGCGCAUGCCUUCAAUGCAAUGGCUAAAGUAUAGGAAUCAUAUUCAACACCGUCUCUCCACAUUUCAGCAAAAUAGAUCAAUCCCUCCUUGUUAUAACCGGCAUGAACAAGCCCCGUAAUAAUGGCAGUCCAUGAAACUACAUUCCUCAACGGCAUCUCAUCAAAGAUUCUACAACCCUCCCAAACACUCCCGUUCUUCAUAUACAUGUCAAGAAUUGCACUCCCCACAAAAACAGAGUUUACUAAACCAGUUUUCACUGAAAACACAUGUAACAUUUCCCCAUAUUUCAGAUUCAUAUUCAGCCCACAAGCCUUGAACGCAAGGCUAAGUAUGAAGGGGUCCAUUUUGAGACGCUGGUCGACCCACAUUUUGGAAAACAAAGACAAUGCUUCAGACGAAUCAGACGCAUUCACAUAGCCCGAAAUCAUGGUUGUCCAUGAAAUUUCAUUUUUGUGAGGAAUUUCAUCGAACAAUUUCCGUGCACGGUUCAAGUUUCCAGUUUUCAGCAUGCCCUUCAGCUGAGAAUUGAUUUCUACCAUUUCGAUUUGAAUGGCAUCAUGGGAUUUCUGUGUCAAGUGAUUUCGAAGUUCUUCCUGAGAUAAAACGUCCCAGGUUUCGGCACACGCAACGGCAUAUGUUGCAUAAAAUCUUCUAAUAAUAUUACCCCUGACUGACAUCAUCAUAUUUGAGAAUCACCAGAUCAACAAGACAAGUUUUAGCAGUGUUUAACGAUGAGGCCUAGUGCAACAACCCAACAUUUUUUUUAUGCUGGAUGGUGACUCCAAAAUAACUAUAAUAAGAUGUUGAAAGUUCAUAAGAAUAGUUGUCAUGGACCAAUCCAAUUUCUCAAGUAAAAAACUUUCAUAAAAUAAAACAAAGGAAAAAAAGGGUAUAGUUGAGUAUUAAAAUUUUCAAUUAUCAAGAAAUUGGUGCAUCAUUUAAAUAUUGCUAGGAAAAUCCAAUAACACAAAACAUUGACGAAGGAAUGAGAGUACAACUACUCUUUCUGAUGUUAAUCAAUACAAAUCUUUAAGUUGAUCCAUUUCAAUAUCAAGUACCAAUUUUCUUGAUACAGAUAUCGACGAUGCUUUUGUGAAUAAUUCAUUUAUAUUAUCACUAGAAUAAAAAAAUCUCAUAUCAAUAGUAUCUUUUAGGUAACAAAGAACAAAAGUGAAAUCCUUUAUCCUAGAAGCUGGGCGCAUGAUACCCGUAAGUCCUCUUUCAAUUUUAGGAUAAGCACGAACCAUGCAUCUUCCCAUUCAAAACUAUUUUCGACAAUGAAUCAUAAUAGUGAGUCAAUGGGCUAUUUUGUAGAUCCUUCGGAAACUUUGGUAGAUUGCAAAUGCUAGGCCCUGUUUGAGCCCCAAUAAUUUGAAGAAAAUGUAUUAUGGAAUAGUUAUUGAUGAAAAUGUGUGGUUAAAAAAACGUAAAAGUUUUUUAUUUGGGUGUAAUAUUAUUUUAAUGAAAAAUGUGUGGUUAAAAAUGAGUACAAUAGAAAAAUAAUGAGAGAAAAUAUAAAAUAAAGGAUGACAAACAGGGGCUUAAUAUAUAUAUGGAUAAUGCGUUUAACAUUAUUUUAAAUUUUUGAGUUGGUGUAGAAUUAUAUCUAGCAAAUAAAUUUACAAGAAAAUAUAUAUCUGGUCAAGUGCAAUUUGAAAGUUAGUUAAUGCUCCAUUUACAUUUACAUAAUAAUGAUUGAACGACCGUAGGAGAUGAUACCCAAUAUGUUUUAUACAUAAAGAUAUUUUAAAACUUUUGUGUAUAUAAAAUUGGUGAAUAAAAAAAUCAUUCUUAAAAAUGUUUAAUUUGCGACUCAAGACAGAAUUUGGUUUUUCCCAAAUCUUUAAUCUCAAAUUCAAUUUUUAAGUAAUAUGAAUUUCCCAAAUAUUCAAAAAAAUUAACACAAUUGCAAAUUCAUUAUUUUUUUUUUUUAUGAAGAUAAAUAGGCAAAUGUCAUCAUUUUUAUCACCUCUUGCACCAAAUAUUCGCUAAAUGACCAACAAUUGCUAUUCAUUUUAUAUUACAAAAGUGUACGGAUCGUGAUGAGUAAUAGAAAAAAUCUAAGAGUUCGUAUUAACGUUCCCACUAGUACUACUAUUCAACAGUUAGUUCAGACUACUCAUAUUGAGUGAAAACGAAUAAAGAUAAUUUUUUUUCUAUCGUAAAUAUUAUAAGUCUCCGGAAAAAAAAUUAAAAAUGUGUUUCUAUAUGAUUGUUUAAGUGUUAGAAUUCACGAGUACACUAUAGUUAUCCUCUUAAUUUUAAUCAUCGAUUUUACAACAACUAAUUGUGUGUAACUGAUCGAAUCCUUCUAUUUAAUUGAUUUACCUCUUUUGAGUUCACACCAAUAACCCGAAUCACCCUAGUGGAUAAAAAACGUAACGUGCACCGAUGAUAGAUGCUGACUAGAUGUCAAAUCUAUUACCUAGGCUGACUAUGAGUUAUUUCAAAAAAAAUGUAUCAAAAUCAAAUGUUUAUGUAAAAUAUAAUGCGAUGAGCCCAAAUUAUUACUUCAUGCUUCAUCAAUAUGAGUUAUAACACUCAACAUGUCUUGUGGUUCUCAUUCCGAAAUCAUUAAGCUCUUUCAGCUAAAAAAAAAAUCAAUUGUUACCUAUAGGAAAAAUUAUGGAAAAAUAUAUGAGCUCAUAGCUCAGUGAGUGGAGAAGUUCGAAAAUAUUUAUACUUUUUCAAUUUGACAUUUUUAUAAAAAUCGAGUUCAUAUAAUUGAUUAACUUGCAAGACAAUAUUAUAUAAUUAUAGACAAAACGAGCGACAUUCAUAUACGUUUCAAAUAUCAUCUCAAAAUCAAACUAUAAAUAUCAACUGAUAACAAUACUAUAAUCUCAUCACAUCAAAUGUACUGAAAAAUCUACCAAAAAUGUACCAUCUGACUAAAACCUAUAAUUCGUCCCUCGGUUAAGAACUUUCGUCACGGGCCUUUGGCCUCCUUGGUGAACGAAAGUCGAACUCAAGACCUCUGAUAAUUAAUUGUAGAACACGAUCAAGGCCUCUCAGUGAACUAUAAGUAUAUGGUCAAGACUCCUUUAUCCCCGGUCCAAGACCCCUCAGUAUAGUAUAGAAUACGACCAAGGCCCUUUAGUGAACUAGAAAUAAUAUGUAAUCAUGGGUACUUUUCUGGUCGUUUUCAAUAUCACACAUCUCACAUACCAAAUCACAAACGUACCAUAAGUAAUCCUUGAAAUUCCACAUGGAUCAUAACAAAAGAAAGUUUCAUCGUAAUCACAUAAUGGAGCAAAUAAUUUACAUAAUUGUACAUACUUUGAUAAUAUACUUAAUUUAUAAAUACUUUAAAAAUAUUUAUAUUUUUCUACUCACAUAAUUAACUUGGUUGGUAAGCUGUCCCGAUAUCCGUAUCGCCAUCUAAAAUAUGAUAUAAUUUUUAAAUCAACAAUUAAUUAUUUUAAGUAAUUUCAAUAAUUAAUAGGCGAUACCAAAACUUAAUCAUUUCACGUUUAAGCAAUUUUUAAAGUCUCAUCAAUCACUAAAACUAAAUUUUAUUUCAUUUAACUCAAUUUCAUAACUUAUUAUACUCAACCCCUUCAAUAAAAUUGAAUUUAAUUUAAUAAUCUUACAAUUAUAAAAUCAAACAUAACUUGACAAUAAAUAACUUUUUAAUUACUUUUCAAAAUUGAGAAAUUCAAACCUAAUAGUGUAGACCACUUAUUUUCUAACAACUUAACAAAAUUUUUCUAAAUUUUUUUUUCUGUGUUCUCGUUCUCAUGUUUUGGUGGCGUAUGAUAAAAAAUGAGAGGAAUGGGAAAUGAUUUAUUGUUAUAUUCAAAGCCUCCACAUUCUUUCACUUCACUUUUUUUUUUUAAUUCUUUAUUUCAUUUCUAUUCAUUUAUUUUGUUAUUUAUUUAUUUAUUGCUUGAUAAAUUUGACAACUUUUAGACUUUGACUUACACUUACUAAAUGAAUUGGGAUAUUACACUUUAUAUGAAUUCGAAUAAGUCUUAAUAAAGAGAAUUCAAUCAUCAAAAACUUUCUGUAAUAACUGUGACACUUAUAAAAGCGUAUCUCUACUCUUUGUUCCAAAUUGCAAAUUUUUACUACGUGACAUAAACAAAUAACUUGCAUCUCGACGUAAUAAUUGUUCGCAAAUCAAUGAAUUAGUGGCAAAUUAAUUCAAAGCAUUAAGAAUGGAAGUAAAAAUAAUUCACAACUUAAAUUGGAGAUAUAAUUUUUUGAAAUUAAAAUUAAGGUUCGAAGUAGGUAACAAUCGUUCAUCCUAACUAAGUGCUUAAUUAUAUAUCUUGGAAAAAGAAAAAUACAAGGGAGAAUUAAAGUAAAUCAUUGGGUUAUAAGGAAAAAGACGAAGAUCUUGAACUAAUAAUUCACUUUUUUCUUUUAAAAUCCUUGAAAACCUUAACUUCAUAUUAGUUUUUUAUUUUUAUUUUUAAUCUCCUUUAGGAGCUCUCUUUUCUUGUAAUUAAUAUGAUUUUUUUGCGUCCCAAAAUGUCCCUUUAUUAUGUGAAAUAUAUGUAUAAUGGAUUCUCGUAAACCUCGACUUGAAUAUAUGUGUAUAAUGAAAUCUCACAAGCCUCUACAAGCCCCUUCAAUUGUUGGACUAAAGCAUGUAUUUGGCUUUUAAAAAACACUAAACAAACGAUAUCAGUACGUUUAGGAGAUCAAAAUAAGUAUUCUGCCUGAAGAAGGCUCGCGUGGAAAGUUGCUGCACACACCACCAUCGUCACGCGCCUCUGUUCCUCCAACCGAGGUCUCGUUUGGCCGAAAUUUGGAAUUUUCAGAUAUGGUUCAAAAGGAAAAUCGCGUCUCCUUCGUGAUUUUGGCAGGUUUUUCAACCUCCAAACUCUGAUACCAGAUGUAGAUGAGAAAGACCACAGCCACCAAGGUAAUACCGAGCUUAGUUCACCACCAAGAUCAACACCACAAUUCAAACAAGACCAAACACCUCCAACCAGAUUUCUUUCCUUUUCAUGGUUGCUAGUCAAUGCCCACAAAGAGACUACAAAGGAUAGUAAAAAUCUCACAAAGAUCAACCCCAAAGAUAGUAAAUCGAGAAUGAAUCGAGAGAUGGAUAAGAAGAAAGAAGGCAGUGAAGUCACGCACUCUAGGCAGCAAAGGAGAGACUGUCCAUUUAACCAAAGGGGCUGGCAAAAUAAGGUAAGUUAGGUUAGGUUAGGUUAAGGUAGUAGUUCAAGUGGCCAAACACAAAAGAAUAGUGGGCCAAUAAAAUGGGUCUCAUUGCUAAGCAAUCCAAGUGAAUGGGUUGGGCCACGAGCAACUCUACUAAACUAGGUCGCUUUGACUGGUCCAUUUCAAAUUGGAAUUUGGUCGUUCAUUUUGUAGUGUCAAUAUAUCGUUCAAUCAUUGCAUAAGUCGACUGAAAUUAUAACUGAGUUAACAUCACAGCUCGAGGAGGUCAUUUGACAACAAUUUACCAAACAAUUGUAGAUUAUGAUUUUAUGAUCAGAUGUUGUAGUUGAGACGCUGUGAUUAAUUGCAAACAUUGGGAUCAAAACCAUCCAAAAAUUCUUGAAACCAAAAGAUAAUUUUUCUCAAACGCAAAGUGUUCGAUAAAAUUAUCCAUUGAAUGUCCUUUUAACCAUUAGGCCCCAAACUCGCACAACAGACACAUGCCGCUGUUUGAGCCACAUUAUUUCUCAUUACAUUAAAUUAAAUUUUUGUCUCUCUUACUUUUAACAACACAAUCUUCAAUAAAAUAAUAUUACACUUAAAUCAAAAACUUUUCAACCAUUUAUUUUUCAAAAAAAAUACUAUUCAUCUCAUUAUAAUCUACAAAUAAUGGGGCUCAAACGGAGGCUUAUUGAUACAUUAAUUUUCGUGCAAAAAUAUUUGCAUGAUGAUCUAUAUUGGGGCUCUUUAGAGACGAAUGUGGCAUGGGAAAUGCAAAGGGCUCCAUCCCGUACUACGUCCAAUAUUCCAUCCUUUACUUUGUUUCUGGACUUUUGUACUCAAGUUGAGGGCAUGCAUUUAUUAAACAUUGAACCCCAACUUUGAGGACUCCCACCAGCCCGCUCCUUGAGGGCAUGCAUUUAUUGUUUUUUAAAGUGGUUGUUGACAUUGAAACAUAAGACCCCUUUGGUGGUGGAGAAGGAAAAAAGGAAAUUGACUGCCAAUUCUUCUGUCCCCCAUCCCUGAGUGUAGAAAGGGAGCAUUCGGCAAUUCCUUAACCCGAAUAACCAUGACCAUUGAAAAUGCAUGGUCAACCAAUGGAAGCUCUGGCCCAAAAAGGUGGGUAAUUUUGGAAGAUUUUUUGGAUUUUACGAUGACACGUCACACUUGAUAGGGGCACGAGUUGGGAGAAAGAGGUUGAAGCAUGUCACCUGGUAUAUCUGCCAUUGGUGAAGGAUUUUCUAGCAAACUUCAACACCAAACUCAACGAAGCCAGACCAUCUCAUUUGCAUCAAAUAUGGGUGAUAAGUGGAUCACAUUCAGCACUAGGUGAUUGACAGAAGUAAAGGGUUGAAUCAAGAUGACAUUGUACAAUUACCGGUCGAGCAUAAUAUGGAGUUUUUGACUCAAUACUUGUAUGGUUGAGACUAGCCAUUUCCACAAUGAGUCCAGUGUUGCCAUUUUAGCCUCCGCCAACAUUAGAUUGAUAUCCGGGAAGCUUAGUUUCCUCUAUUUCAUUUAUUUUCUACAUUUUGGACUGUAUAAUACUACAUUGAGGAAAAUUUAGAAAUUAAAUGUUGGAGUGGAAAUUACUUGGUCUCCUUGUAAAUUAAUCUAUAUUUUGCAUGAUAGAGUCUACUUUAUUAUAUUGCUUAUGUUUAAGCCCUUAUUUGUUGGGGAUUAAAAUCACAUUUUCAGUAAGUUUUUAUUAAAUUUGAUGAUAUGUGUGGUUGAAAAGUUGUCGAUCCUAUAAAAUAUGUGGUUAAAAUUAGUUGGUAACUUUGACCUAGAUUUUAAUCCCUACCAAAGAGGGGAUAAAUGUGAUAUUGUAUUGAAAUACUUCGAAUUUGGUAUUGUUUGGGAAAAUGUACUUCAGUAAGUGCAUAACUUGAUUCAAGUAGCAUCAGUAGUUUUGAGAAUGAUUAACACACACAUUCAAAAGUUGAGAAUACGAUAUGUGGAGAUUGGAAACCAACUUUUCAUUCUUAUGUUUCGUUAACUUGUUUGAAUUUUGACAUUUAGAUAUUCACGUUGAGAAAACAUUGAAUAACAUAUGUUGAGUGGAGUAGUAUAUGUAUUUAGUUGAGUUUCUAUUUUAGUUUAUUUGAGAAUAUAUAAAUGUUCAAGUUUGGAAGUAUUUGCGCCACUAAAAGGGGGCAUAUAUAGUUCUUUCGAGAGUUAACUAUCUAAUUUUUUGUGUUUAUGAUUAAUUUAGGAUAAAACCCGAUUUUCAACGUGAAAGAAUGAAAAUGGGUGAGUUUCGAUAAAAAAAAAAAAAAAGGAUUGAAGAUUGACAAAAUCUGGAUUUUGGGGACAAUGUAUUAAUUUUGGAAGUUGAAGGACUUAUAUUAUUGAAGGACUAAGGCAGAACAAGAAAAUGAAUUGGAGGACUAAAUUGCACAAACCUGCUAAGUCAUUUGAACAUUACUGUAAUCUAGUACGAUCACAAAGCACUAAGUUUGAAUUCUAGCAGGCAAUAUGAUAGAAGCCUGUGCGAUCGCAGCCCUCAAAAGGGUGCGAUCUCAUUAUUUCGAGGAGAAAAAAAAAUUAUAGUUUUCUAGUUUGACUCACACUCUGGUUUUCAGCUUUAUAGGAUUGAUUUACAACCGUAUCGAAAGACUUCAAAUAUGUUUAGCCAUUCUUUUCAUACAGAGACACAUUCUUGAGAGAAAUUACAUAGAUUCAUAUGUAUAUUCUCAAGAUUUUUGUAUAGGAUUUUAACAUUUGAUUACAAAAUUUCAUCAAUUUGUCGGAAGAUCUACAAUCAGCAAAAGGAGUUGAAGAAAUUUGUAUGGAUUAAUAUAGCAAUGAACAAUAAUAGAUCUUAUCUUCAUUCGUUGUAAUUGUAUCCAAUGAUAUUUUUAACCAUAAAUUUAUUUAGUUUUGCAAUUAUGAGUGACUAAUUUCUUAAUUGUUAGGAUAAAAAAAUGUAGCUUAGGUUUAAAUGUUAAUUUAAUUCGAAAGAAUUUAUGUAAACUUGAUUAUGUGUUAAUACCUUAUUUGGUAGUUAAUUACAUUAAAUUGCUUGAUCAUUAAUCGAUUGACUUAUGGACAAUAUUGAGACCAAACGGCGAUGUAUUAGCCUAGCUUGUGGAAUAAGUGAUAUGGGUAUGUUAUAGGUUAUGCAAUCUUUAUUGAAUUCCUACGAAUUAAUGCAUUAUAUGUAUAAUUUUACAAAGAUAUAGCCCCUUUUGAGACUCAUUUUGGUAAGAAAAUGCAUUUUGGAAUAGUGAUUUGUUCGAAAAUGUGUGGUUUAAAAAGAAUUUUUUUUUAAAAAUUUACGUGUAAUAUUAUUUUAUGGAAGAAUGUGUGGUUGAAAAUGAGUUUUGAAAAAAAUAAUUUUUUGAAAAAAUGAGAGCCAUACAUAAGUAUAGCAAUUUCAGGCACGUGUAUAUAGCUAAUUUUUCUCAACAAAAAUCAUUAGCUAAUAAUUGUUCAAUUCAACCGUUAACACAUGAAAAAGGACUAGUGAUAUUGAAUUAUGUGAAUAUUAAUUAAAAUUAGUGAAGUUGAAAAUCCUAACUACCUAAUCCUAUAAAUUCUUCCAAAAAGCCUUAAGCAUUGGUUAAAUUAGAUAGAUUUAGUAGAGCUUUAGUUUUAACCUAAUUUCUUGAUUCAUUACUUGGUAACCACAUUAAUUUAAUUUAAAGCCAGGUUUAAGAUAGAAAUUAAUAGUAGGUAAAUAAUCUUUGUGAGAAGGACAUUUGAACUAUAAAAUUAACUUUGUGAGAAACAGUUUCUAGGUUAUAUUUAUUUGGAAGCUCUAAUCCUUAGAUGCUCGUAUAUGGCAAGUUUCAGAGAAUUUUGCACCACCAUACUCAAAAGGAUAUCUAGAACUUGAUCUUCAUGUUUAUUAUCUAUAAACAAAAUUUCUAGGUUCUUGAAGAUCUCUUUGAAGACGGCAUAGAUGAAAUUGCUAAGAAACUCAACUUGUCGUGCCCCUUUGUUCCUAUAGGAUUCUGUGAUCUCGAGUUUGUGGUUGACAAAUCCAAGACCCUACCGAUUGUUUGAUUUUCCACAAGUGUAUGACAUCACGAAUAAGUAAUAAAGUGAUGAAUACAAUAUUGUUUUCACGAAAACUAUUUACUUAAUCUGGUAUCAAUUAAAGUUAACUUUAAUCGAAUAAUAUAUUUUGUUGAAGAAUUUAUGCUAAGUUAAUUAAUUAAACUAAUUAUUCUAUCCAACAAUUUAUAAAUCUUUUGUGAAAUUUGAUGUGAUAUUGCUAAUUAAAACUUUGAAUUCCCCUUAUUAAUCUAUUUCAAUGCAAAUCAAUAAUAUGACAAUAUGUUAUUGAUCAGUGUUCUUAAGUUAAUUAAAAGCAUCUCUCGAUAUCAAUUAAAUCUAUCAUUUUUCGUGAAUUUCUUAUAUCUCUAUGAAAGAUGCGAACAUGAAACAUGCAUUAAAAAAACUAAAACAUCCAUAAAAUCAUGCAAAGCAUAGCAAUAUAUGUCUAUCUCGUAUCGAAUUUUAAAAUAAAUGUGAUAGAGUGCUAUCUAUCCUAUUGUUUCUCUCGAAAUCAAUAAAAUUUACAAUGAAUUCAAUUAGUGAUCAAAUAAUUGAAAAGUCAUUAAAUCCUAUAACAAUCAUCCAAGAAUAAGCUCAUAAUUGAACGUCAAAUUAUCGAAUUUAUAUUAAAACAUAAUAAUAAAGGCUCAUCAAGAUCUUAUAAAUUAAAACACUAGCCUAGAAUUACAAAAUCACAAGAAAAAAUAUUUAACUGCAAGAACAUAACUUGGAUUUUUUAUUGAUAAAAAAGAUGAAGAAAAAUCUCGAAAUCUUGAAUAUUUUCAAUGGUUUCUUUAUAAAUCUCUAAUAUAUAUUCCUUUUUCUUUUCAAAAAUUUAGAUUGAAACUCCAAUUUCUUGAAAACUUGUAAUUGCUUUUUAAUUCUAAUAAGAACAAUGGAUUGACCUCUUUUUGAUGAUGUUAAUAGAUGAAUUUUGGUUUAUGAGAUGUAUAUGAAAGGUCUAUAAGAGUUCACUUAUAUUGGGUGCCCAUGUUAUGCAUUUAUAGGGAUGAAAUUAGGUCAAAAAUCAUGCAAGAAAGUAGUUUCCAUAUAGAAUUUUGAAUAAAAAAGAAAAUUGGCCACAAUCCCAGAUUUUGGCCCUUUUUCUUCUUUGCUUUAUAACUAUCAGUUGCCCAAUUAUACCAUUUUUCAAACUUUAUGUCUUAGUCCUUGAAUUCGAUUCUUGAUUCUUUUAAGUCCAUUUCUCUUGCAAUUUUGGUUCUUCAACUUCUAAUUGUAUCCAAUUGAAUUCAUAAUAUCUUCAAUCUUUGUUUUGUUGUUCGAAUAACUAUUGGAUGUUUGCAUUUUAGUCACCAUACUUGCUUUUCAUCCCUUUUUGCCAAUUUUUGCUUCUUUUUUUCUCAAUUCCUCUUCCAUUCAUCGAGUUUCACCUAAUAGACAAAAUAUAUACAAGAUUAGGCUAUAAUUUAUCAGAAGAACAAUGAAAUAUGAAUAUUUUAAAACCCUACGUGUAUAAAAUAUAUUUAUCAAACACCUCAAACAUGAACAUUUGUUUGUUCUCAAACAAAACUAUAAAAUAACUUAACAAACGAACAUGCAACAAAAUUUUGGUUUGAUAACCUACAAAUUUGUCUCAAGAUUAGAAUCGUUAUUAAAUUUAUAAUAGUUUCAAGGUCAUAACACCAAAAUCAAUAUCCAUUUCUCCAAUGCAAAACUGAUGUGUGUGUGAAGAAUUUAAGUCAAACACAAUGAAUUAACAAGUUGUUUUGAUUACUGACCUUCAAUAGUCAAAUUUAUUCCUCUACUUGUAAAAUUUACAUACUCCCAAACUUAUCAUUGUUACUGUUUUCCUAGUGUUUUGAUCUAAGGUAGAAUCUUUGUACUAACUCCUCACCUUCUCUAAUUUAGAUGGAUCUCACUAAUUGCAAGUUAAUAUUUCAACAAAUAAGGAUUCUCCAAAUUUUUGUUUGCUUUAACCUCCAAGAAAUAACCAAUAUAAUAAUCCAUUGUUAGAGAUCCAAUUCUCUCAAAUAAGUGUUUGUGGCAUAACCAAGAUAUGUUAUGAGUCUUUUGUUUCAUGCACUUGCUCUUUUCAUUUUUUAUUUUUUUUUUGUUUUUGUCCUCCCCCCCCCCCCACCCCACAAUUUCACUUCUCUUAUAUGCAAACUUCUCUUUAUUAAGCUAUCUAAAUAACUAUUGUAAUGAGUUUUUGGUCGAUGACUUCCAAGUCAGGUGACCAUUGGGCACCAGGUUUAAAAAUAUAUAUUUUUGCAGACUUAAUAAUUCGAGUUAUAAAGGAUAUGAAGAGAUGUUUCACAAUGAGAUAGUUUUUUAAUUUCAUUUUAUGUAAUGAUUAGUGCAAUGUCCUUGUUAAAUACUCAUUCUCCAAAAUCGACCAUUAACUUAAGAUUUUCACCUUUUUUUAUUUUUUAUUUUUAUUUUUUUUGCAAGCCUUAGACAAUCCACACAAGAAUUUACACACAUGAAACCCUUUUUAUGUCAAUAUCUUCCUACAACAGUUCAGCCAUCCCAAACUUUACUAAAUUUGGUCUGAGGAUUGUAUAAUGUAAUAAAUUUUUUUUUUUUUUUUUUUUGGGAUUCAUCAUCUAUGUUCUACAACUUCUACCUAUUAAGCAUAUGAAUCAACUCAUUACUUCAUAGUGCUAAACUUAAUUAUGCGCGAAAAUAAUAUUGAAUUUUACAUGGAUAAACAUCCAUUAAUUUAAGCACAUAACUUAUUCACAGUUCAUAAAGCAACAUACAAUUCUUAAUAAAUUCAUUAUUGCCGAUAAGGCUAUCUAACCUACACAAACAUACAAUAAACAAAGAAAAAUAUUUUUGAGUUUUUGAAAAUGAAUUAAUUUUUCUUUUCUCAUACAUACAUAAUAAAGUAGUAAAACACAUAAUCAUAAAAUAAAACUAAAACUCAAUAUUUUUCGUACCCCCAAGUUAAAGUAGACAUUGUCCAAAUGUCCUAUUGUCUACUAUAGCACAUAAAGGGACGAUGAAAAGAAGAAGAAGAAAGUACCCCCCCUCCCCCCGAAUUUUUCUAUCUAAUAUUGGAAGUGGCUUUUUGGUUCAUUCCAUUCCAACCUUUUUUGAUAAUGUGAUGUAUGACAACCUUUUUUGACACCCUGGAGCCUUGGAAAAUGUGCCACAUGCUUUUUUCCUAUUUCUGACUCAAGCAUAUAUAUAUAUAUAUAUAUAUANNNNNNNNNNNNNNNNNNNNNNNNNNNNNNNNNNNNNNNNNNNNNNNNNNNNNNNNNNNNNNNNNNNNNNNNNNNNNNNNNNNNNNNNNNNNNNNNNNNNNNNNNNNNNNNNNNNNNNNNNNNNNNNNNNNNNNNNNNNNNNNNNNNNNNAUAUAUAUAUAUAUAUAUAUAUAUAUAUAUAUAUAUAUAUAUUUAUAUUUACUAGGCUUAAAAUAGAUAAGAUGACCCUUAUAUUUAAAAACAUGUCCAAAACUAAUGCAACAUAAUAACGACAUGUGAUGGAAAUGCCUAAAGCAUAAUAAAUAGAAGGGUAAAAAAUUGGGUUACCUCCUAAUAAGCGUUUAAUUUAAAGUCUUUAGUUAGACUUUGUAGAGGAGUUAACCAUGGUGGUAUAAGGUGGAGUUCAUUUGUAAAGCUUUAAUCAUAAUGUUUAGCAUUGCGAACCCCUUUAUUUAUUUUUCAUGUUUAAAGAGCUCCUACUUCAUCCUUGAUGUUCCAACUGUUCCACAAACUCACUCUUUUUUUUAAUUUAAAUUUAGGGUGGGACUUUAAAUGCUCUUUCACUUCUUCUUCCUUAACCUUUCUGCUAUUCUCUUCAUCGGAAGGUUUCUUGAUGGUGGUAUAGAUUUUGAACUUUUCUUGCUAAUCAUCCAUCCUCUAGGUUAGUUCGCCUACUUCAAAGUCUGUGAUGAUAGGAAGGAUCGUCCCAAGAUAGUUAGUGAUGCAUCCCAUGGUUCUUCUAUGUCUAGGACAGUGAAGUCUACUGGGAAUAUAAACUUGCCCCCUUUAAUGAGCACGUUUUGAGCCACUGCUCAAGGGUAUUUUAUUGAUCUGUCCGCUAGUUGAAGAGUGAUAGUUGUGUCAUUUAGUCUUCCAAACCUAAAUUUUUGUAGGCAAAAAUAGGCAUUCAAAUUUAUACUUAGUCCAGAAUCACAUAAACAACUGAAAAGUAAAAUUACUUCCUAUUGAGCAAGAUAUUAUGAGACUCCUUAGAUCUUUUAAUCUAGGAGUUAAUUUUUUAUUAUUUUUAUUUUUUGCAAGAUUGCAAUGCGCUUCCCAUUUAACUUGAUCGUCUUAAAUUUAGUAAGCUUUCUUUUCUUUGACAAGAUUUCCUUCAAAAAUUUUGCAUAGCUUGGUAUUUGAGAUAUGGCUUCAAUUAACAAGAUGUUGCAUUACGCUUUCUAAAUAUGUCAAUAACUUUGCAAAUUGGUCUUUAAGCUUCCUUCUUUUUCAUUCACACAUUCUCCAAAAAAUACUAUUCCACCCAUUAAAAUUUGAAAUAAUGGGGUCCAAACGGGAGCUAAAUUAUCUCCUUUCAAACUCUUGGAAAUUUCAUUUUCCAAACAUUUUUCCUCCAUUCCCAGGUUUUUAUUUUUGCUGAAGUUGUUUAUGGAUUUGGAAACGUCAAUUGUUCGUGCGAAACCUAUAAGCGUACGGGAUAGUUGAUAAAUAAUAGAUUUAGUGAGUUGAGAGUAUCCUUAGGGAAUAAAUUUUAAUUCAAGUGUACUAUUCUUGUAUUGGAUUCUAAAUAUGUAAAACAGAAAAGUUUUAAUGCGUGUCGUGCAUGAUUAUGUCUCUGCACAAUUAUUAGUAUUUUUGUCAUACUUUUCUCUUCCAAUAUCCAAUUGAGGCGAUUUAAUGUAUAUUAGAAAGCUAACUUAAAGGGAUACAAUUAUUAUAGAAAUAAUAGUAUGCCACAAUGAUUCCCAAUCUCCAACUAAAAAUUUGAAGCAUAACUUGUGCAGUUAAUUAUAUUUCAAUCCUUCAUUCCUUGAAUUUUGAAUUGCUUCCAAUUAAUCCUAUGUGAUUUCAAUUGAUGUUUUGUGGUCUGAAUCAACAAUUAGAUAUUGUACAUUGGUCUCCAAAUUUUGGAUUUCUUCCAUUUUUUGUUCAUUUAUUCUAAUUUCACUUCCAAAUAUCCGGUUGUACCUAACAAAUGAAAUAUAUACAUAGUUAAGUCAUAAAUUAUCAAAAUUACUAAUAGUUAGCCCUAUUUAAUGGUCUAAAUAAGUCUAUAAAAUACACUUAUCAUUAGUCAACAUAUUCUUCCUAUGAUAUUUGAGAAACUACGCAUCUGGCAUGUUUGUCGAAGCGAUAGACAAUAUUGGGAGGUCAACCUCUUUCAAAUAUACAACAUAGAUUCUAGCAAUGCAAUAUAGUUGGAUUCACAUGUCGAUCUGAAUGAAUCAUCCUUUCGACGAGGGUUCAAUCUUUGCUUGCUAGGCAAGAGGAGAGCAAGUUACAAAUUUCAUCUCGGUAGGACAUUCUGCCUUCUUUUUAUUUAAAUUUUCUUAAUUCGUUAUUCAAUUACGACAUAAAUGAAAUGUGAAAUUCUUGAGUAAUCUACUUCCCUUCGAAUGAUGAAUCUCUUUAUUCUUAAUUUUAGAGUUAAAGUGACCGUCUGAUCACUAAGGCCGAAUUUCGUCCCUGAUCAAUGGCUAGGUCUUGCAAUAAUUUUUUUUUCAUAUCAAAAUUCGAUAUUGUGGGAGGCCAUAAUAUAAUUAUAAUUAAUAUAGUAGGGUUAGAGCUUUUCACUGGAAAAGGAUCAAAGACAGUGUAAUAAAGCAUCAAUACUAAUUGAUUCAUCCAUAAUUAAAUAUUAAAUAAAUCAAGAAAAAAAAAUAGAGAUCCACCGAAGAAGAUCCUUCUCUUUCCUUUUUAAGGAAGAAAAGGAGGAUCCAAAUAAAAUCGAUGAAAUUGAAGAAAUUCGAGUGAAUGGAAAGGAAAAAAACAUAGGACGAAAGAUUUUGAUCUUUAUCUCGGAGCCUCGAAGGAAAUAGCUUUCCUUACUUUGAUGAAAACUUUUCAAUUUUCAGAAUUCUCGCUCUUCUAAAGUGGUGUCUCACUAAUGGCUUGAGUCCCCCGGAAGGAGGCCUUCUUCAUCUUCUCCUACCCAUGGUGAAAUAAAAUUAUGGGUGCCCAAAAAUUGGAUAUAAUCAACAUGUUUUUCUUUCUUUAUUUAUUUUUUCAUGAUUAUGAAUUAUUAAAGGUAGAUGCAUGAGACACAAUCUACUAAUUAAUCAAGUUCUUAAUCUAUUUCUUUCAAAUACCCACUAUAAACAUAUCAGUGAUCUCAUUUAAUAAUAUCUCGGGGGCUAAUGAAACUAUUUUAGUAAAAUUUAACUGUCUCAAUUUUCGGGGGAUCACACCAAAAAUUCUAGUUCCUUUUGGAUUGAUCGAAGUUAUAUACUCUAUAAUAUAGGUCUUACCCAUACAAGUAAUGAAGAACUCGCUUUGGAAUAUUAUUUUCGAGAUAAAGAAGCCAAUGCAAUUGCCGGAAAUACUAGGCCUACUAAAGGCACAAAAGUAGAUGGGAAAUUGAAAGUUGUCAUAAAAUGGGUAUCAUGUCUAUUUCACCGAGCCUCUCUCCGAUACAGUGCCUAGAUCGUUACGCCUUUCGUGCGGGUCGGAACUUACCCCAUAAGGAAUUUCGCUACCUUAGGACCUUUUUGCUGAAGUGGUCUUGCCAAGCCUCGCCAUCCCAAAGAUGGACAUAAUUUAUAGUUGCAAGUUGGUUGUAUUUAUAGCCUCAUCCUUGAAGCCCUCUACAAUGUCUUCAUAAAUCAGAGAUUUUUCAGCAUGCAAUGACACUUGUUCACUUUGAUGAUCUAUUAAUUGUUGUUUUCCAAUUUAGUGACUCUAGUUCCUUUUUUUGAUUGCCACCCAAAAUUCUUGAUCUUCUCUAUGACAUGAGAAAGAAUAUAGUUAAGACACUAGAUAGGAGGAAAUUACUUGAUAAUACACUCAACUUAAUAUGAUGUCUCCAAUUCUUGUCACAUGUUGAUCAACCCCUUUGUGUAGCUACUCGUCUAUAUCUUUAAGAGACGACCACAGUAACAUUAGCUCAUCAUGGAUUAUUCUAAUUUCAUAUAUCACACUAGAAAUCCUGUUAUGUAUUGAUUCAUUAGUUUCUCCAGAUCACCACUGAGGGAAUCUACAAUGAAGAGAGACAAAACACUAGUAGAUUUCAGCAUACUACUUUGGAUUUUCGAGACUAUGAAUUAGUCCUGCAUCUUUAUGUUCAAUUUCAAGAUCAUAAUCUUUCGCAACAAAUCAGAAAGAGUCAUAUCCAGUCAUAAGGAUGGGAUCUCCUUUGACAAAGAAAUUGUAACCGUACUGACCACAACUUUAACAUCUAUCAAUUAAUUUUUGGUUUCCUCGAACUCAAUAAGCUAUAAUGGUGUAUCCCUAAAAAAGGUGAUUAAACAUCUUUAUAUUUUCAAUCAGACCACGGACUGAAAAAAAAUAAGUAUUGAUAAAGUUCUAUUUCGUCUAAAAUUUGGUAGACAAAAUCAAUUAAGGGAGCAACAAACUCAAUCCACAUUGGGGGCAGUAUUCUUAUCUGGGAUUGUGAACGAUGCUUGAAGCUCAAUUACAAAAGCACAAAAUAAAUGGGAAAAGUUUCUGUGUUCUUCAGUAGCUCGCACAAAACCUAGCAAAGCCUCGCUGAAUACCCUAGAAGGGCUAUGAAAUCAAUUAUUCUGUUAUUUUCAGAGUGAAAUUUUAAUAUGAAGUGAAUGACUAGAAUAAGUCAUCCCUGGCCAUCAAACUCUUCAAUAAGUUUGUCCAUGUAGGGGUAGUCUUCCGGAAGUACUUUUAGAUUGAAUGUAGAGGCGGCCAUCUUUUGAACCCUUUUCUAUGUAAUUUGGAUCAAUAAUAACUCUGAUGAUUGAGUGGAUGAGAUAGGAAAGCAGAGGAUAGAGGAAGCGAUGGGUUUGGUGGAUGAUGAAUUGCAAGAGAUUGAUUAAUGAACAUACGAAUUAAAUGAGCUCCUUGGUCAUCAUAAUAGUAGUAUUUUCUUUGAUACUAACUUUGCAUACAACAAUAUCACCAAGACUAGUAGCGUCAUGCAUAGAAUGAUAUUGAAUAUCAAUGUGGUUCUUCCUCUAAUGAAUCAUAUCUUUUGUGUUGAAAAUAGCGCUCUAACUAUCACAAAACACUAUAGUAACAUGUAAAUUUUCACUGACUUUACCAAAUAGUCCCUUUAACCAAGUAGCUUCCUUACAAGUCUCUGUAAUAGUCAUGUAGUCAACCUCAGUAGUAAACAAUGUAACUAUAGUCUAUAAAUUAGCUUUUCAACUGAUAGCACAACCACCAAUAGUAGAAAUAUGUCCUAUAAACGAUCUUCACUUAUGGAGGUCUCUAGCAAUCAGAAUCGCCAUACCUAAUGACUCCAUCUCCAUUUCUUCCAAAAUAUAAACAAACAUUAGUAUAGCCACACGAUAGGUAUUUGAAAAUCCACUAAACUUCUUUCCAAUGUUCUUUACCAGGGUUUGUCAUGUAGCCAUUGACUGCAUUGAUUGCAUAUAACGUGAAAAACCAUAGCAUACAUGAUAGAUCUUACAACAUUAGGAUACGAAACUCGUGACAUAUAGUCAACCUAAUCAUUAGAUUGUGAGAAUAAAGUAGAUGCAAGUCUGAAAUGGUUCACUAGAAGGGGACUAAUAGGUUUGGCAUUCUAUAUAUUCAACCUAUAGAGAACUUUCUCAAUGAACCCUUUCUGACUUCGGUACAAGUUGCAUUCCUUUCUAUCUCUUAGAAUCUCCAUUCCAAGUAUUUGCUGCUCAUAGGUCUUUUAUCUCAAAUUCAUUACUCACCUGGGAUUUAACCUAUCUUACCUCUCCCUUACCCUUGGAUACUCUCAACAUAUCAUUAACAUAUAAAAGUAGUUAUACAAGUGACCACCACCACUUUUCUUAAAGUAGACACAACUGUCAUAACUAUUUCUUUUGGGAUUAUGAGUGGUCAUAAAUGGGUCAAAGCUCUUAUACUACUGUUUGGGUGGCCGUAACAGGCCAUAAAAGGGACUUUUUCUGCAAGCAUACAUAAUUAUCCUAAUUUCUUGCAACUAGUCUUAAAGCCUUAUACCUAGUUUCUUAAACUCAUGGUAUUCCUUAUUUCUUUUUAAACACCCAUUUGCAAUGAACAACUUGCUUAUCCUUAGACUAUCACACUAAAUCCCAUGCACCAUUCCUAUUAAGCGAUUCCAUCUCUUCCUGUAUGAUAAUAAUCCAUCUACUAGAGUUAUCAUAACUAAUUGUCACUGAGUAGGUAGAGAGUUCUUUAUUGGAAUCAAUACUUUCAAACUUAUUCAAGACAUAGGCAACCAAAUCAGCCCCACCGUACCUCUUUGGAGGUCUAUAAUCUCUUUUGGGCCUAUCUUUAGCAAUAAAGUAUUGUGGUAGCAAUGGUGGUGGUGAGAAAGCAACAUCACUCUAUACUUGUGAGCUAGUAUGAGAUAUAGACUCGAGCAUAGACACUGACCCAAUUUCAAACUCUAUGUGUUUAAUUUCAGUUGAUUUUUAUUAAAAGAAUCUGGAAGGUAAGUCAUGGAGCAUUACACGUUUAUCGAAGAUAACCUAUCUAUUGACUUCGACUUUAUUGGUGUCUUGACACUAUAUCUUAUAUCCCUUAACACCAUACUUAUAGCCAAGAAAUACGCACAUUGAAGAUGUAGUUUCCAAUUUUCCAUUGUCAACAUAAGCGUAGGCACAACAUCCAAAUAGCUUCAAAUCGAUAUAACUAGCAAGAGUACCAGAUCAUACCUCUUCUAGAGUCAUUGUCACUGGUUGUUGAGGGUAAGUGAUUAACAAGAAAAAAGGUUGUAGAAACGGCUUUGGCCCUAAAUAUCUUAGGUAAAGCAGCGAUGGAAAGAAUACAACGUAUUUUCUCCAUCAACGUCCUAUUCAUCCAUUCUGCCACACUAUUUUGUUGCGGAGUCUAACAAACUAUUAAAUGCCUCAAAGUUCUUUCUAACUUGUAGAAAACAUUAAACUUUUUAGAACAAAACUCCAAGCCAUUAUUAGUGAGGAUAUGUUUUUCCUAUUUCCAUGUGUGCUUCUCAAUGAUGGUCUUCUACUCUUUGAAUGUAAUAAACACAUCACUCUUUUAAUUUAAGAAAAACGCCUAAACUUUUUAGGAAAUUUUAUCAUCAUUGAUAGUUAGCAUAAAGUAAGCAUCUUCUUUGGAGGACUGCCUAGAUGGUCCCUAGAGAUCUAAGUUUCGUAAUCAACUGUUUCAUUCAUAUUGUAAAUGCUUUUGGUGAAUCUAACUCUUUUUUACUUUCCAAAAAUGCAGUUCUCAUAAAACUUCAACGUACUAGUACUUUGUUCAUCAACAAGUCUACUCCUGUUUAGCUUAGCCAACCAUUCUCACUCAUUUGCCCAAGGUGCUUAUGCCAUAGUUAUCACCAUCUGACAAGGAAGAAGUAGUGACAAUUGCAACACUUAUGACCAUAGAACCCUACAAGAUAUAAAACUUGGUAGAUAUUCUUUGCCCUUUCAUCAUAAUGAGGGCAUCUUUGCUAACCUUUAGGACUGCACACUCAUCGAUAUAUUUGUACCCUUUUGAAUCAAGAGUACUUUAAAGAGGUAAGAUUUUUCUUCAAAUCUGGAACAUGUCUCACAUCACCAAGUUUCUUAAUAGACCAAAACAUAUUUUAAUUCUGUCAUUCCAAUAUCAACAUCUUACAAGGUGUUAUUUUCCAUUAUUACGGCAUCUUUAGAAACUGUUUCAAAUGUUGAAAACCACUUUCAAUUGAGAUUUAUAUGAAAUGUGCAAGUUGAAUCAAGAAUCCAUUUUUUGCAAGUCUUUGAGUAGCCAUUAAAAAAUGACAAAGAAUUGCUAGUACGUGGAGAAAAACUACCAUGCAUUUGGACAGAUAUCAUCUUUUUAUAAAUACAUUCCGAAAGGCUUUAGCUAUUUGUUAGGAACUCUCAUGAAAUCUUUACUUGUGUAUGCGGUGCUAUUUUAGACAUGAUUAUUUUUCCUAUCACUACCUUACUCUCACGUCGGAGGUCAAACGUGGGAGGUAACCCUAAAAUUUUUUGUAGAUAACUAGGUUGGACAGAUAGAUGGCUCCAUUUUGUUCUGCUAAAGAAUUUGAAGAGCCAUGUCGAAGCAAGUUUGUUAGCUCUAUCUAGUGGAACAGGACAUAAAAGCUAUUAUAGGACCAUAAACUAUAAGUAAAAUAGAAUUGGAAGGAAGUACAUCAGUUAGAAUAUGUAGGUCGGGAGAUCCAGAUCUACUGCCACUAGUUUAUGUCACUAUGAACCACUUUAAUGCCUUAGAGACUUAAAUGGCAACAAUGAUGGUCAUAUUGCAGAAUCAGGUUCAGAGAGUAACCGAAAUAACUCCUUAUCCACCUGAAAAUCAUCAAAUGUGACCACCUCUUGUAGCACAAGAAGCCACCUGGCACUUUUUGGGACAGCUAUGGUAGUUAUGGUAUCUUUCUACUUGGAGUGCCCCUAGCAAUGGUUACUACAACAAAAUUAUGAUUUUGCGAAAAGAUAUUUUGUGAUAUACAAAAAGUUGUCACAAUAAGUGAUUUAGCGUGACACAUUUUUCAAAUAUUAUUAUGAAAAAAAUUGAGUAUAAAAAAAGAUAAGGUGACAAGAAAAGUUGUGGUGAAAUGUGAGAAGGCGCAACAUAAAGACGAUUGCCAAAAACAUGAGGGAAGUAAGGCACCAAAAAUAUUUUUUGGCAGGAAAGUUUUGACGACAAACUUAUUUCUUGGGUAUAUACCAAAAAUAUAUGUACACACACACAUACAUACAUAUAUACCUAGAGACACACACACACACAUUAUUAUUUGUCCUUCAAGAUUCCUUUAUCAAAUUUAAGAAAUUUUCAAGUCCGAAACAUCAAGUAUAAAAAGAGAUGAAGAUUCCAACAGAGCGAGUUUUAGUGGGAGAUAAAAAGUUUUGUUUAGAAACCUUGUAUUAGUUUUAAAACUUCUCAAUUUUCAAAGUUAUUUCCAGUGUGUAUCAAGUUUGUAUUUCGAUUUUCAUCUCGAACUUUCAACAUUUUCAAUAAAAUUACCAUAUUCAACUCAUCUCUGUGUUUUUUAAUACUUGAAUCUCUACUACCCUUAUCCCCUGGACUUAUAUAACUAUUCAACAAAAUUUUGUAAAAAGUAUAUUUGUUUUUGACUUACAAAAACUUGAUCAUAUAAUUUAUUUCUUCUUCAUUGGGUAUGUCGAUUUAUCUUUUGUAAUUGAGUGAAGCAAACGAUUGAACGAUUUAGCCAUACUUAUUAGCCAAAUGUGUUGCUGAUUUUCAAUAGUUCUUCCCAAUUUUUAGAAAUCUCCAACAAUAUUUUUCCAACUGGAUUGAUGAUAUCACCAACGAUAUUUUGUAGAUUGUCAUGCAUGUUGCAUCUUUGAACCUCCCUGGGUUUUGGAGGCGCCACUGCUCCAAGGCCCUUACUCAUUGACUUAGAGUAGAAAAUAGAAGAGAUGAUGGCAAAUUUUUUUUGUAAAGUCCCGAAAUUUUAUAUUCUUAAUUUGGUUGACGUGACCCAGUUAUGAAAUGAGCACUAAAAGCUCGCCCAUUUAAGGUAAUGAAAAACUAGGACAUAAGCUAUAAAAUCUCAAAGAUUUAAGGCAUUGAGUUUAAAUGAAUUUGAGUGCAAAAAUUUAAUGAAUAAUUGGUUGCCACAAUGGUCAUCUAUAUGGUAUUUUAUAUAGGUAAUCUAGGUUGGUAUCAGCAUGCAAGAGUAUUUAUAUCAUAUUUUUAUAAAAAUAUUUUUUGAGUUAGAAACUCCACAUUUUCACGUUAGGGCACAUCUAUGUUAAAAUUAUUCAUGGAGAUUGUUUACAAGUCUCAUAAACCAUUCUCCAGUUUAAACUUUGCAGAUGUUUUUAUAAAAAUUAUUUUUGAGCUUAAAAUUCUCACUUAAAGGCUCACUUUAAUAAGGUUUAUUGUUAUAUAACUCUUCCAUUUAAUUUUUCACUAAAAAUGAGGUUAUAAGAAGACGAAGAUCGCUUUUUUUACCCCUCCUCUCCUUAAAUUAAUCCAAAUUUCACUUUUCUUCCUCCCAAAUUUGUGUCAGUGCUAGAUUAUUAACAUGAAGUAUUACUAGAAUUUGAUAAUUCAAGGCAAAAGAUUUCUCAUUUCAUAACAAGAAUUUACCUUUUUUAAUGAUAUGACGUGUAUUGGAAUUCUUAGAGUUAUGAAAUCAGAGGUUUAUGUAUAUGGCAUAACCAAUCCCUACAAUAUCAAGGGAUUCUUCGAAUGAAUUUGUAGGUCUUCAUCUACAUAAAAUGUUAAAUUCUUUUCUAUCACUUUGUAUGUAUGUGUAUAUGUUUAUGAUCAAAAUGGUGCAGCAAAUGAUAUAAUACGUACUUAGCUUAAGGCUCAUACUCUUUUUGUUCAUUAUUUUUUAGAUUAAAUGAUGGUCGAGGAAAUGGGAUUCACAUGGAUUGCGGAUGAUCCAAAGGGAGAAAGGUGCUUCAUUUCUGUUGUUAGCACAUUUAAAGAAUUUAUAGUUCUUACUAGUUACAUUUAAUUUCUAAACGAUGUUAGUUUAACUUUACUUCUUGAAAGACUUUCUAGUUCUUUUUCUUAAUGUGAACAUUGUAACUGUAAUUGGUUUAAGUAUGCAGUUAAUUUAAGUUGCUAAAAUAUUUUACCUCGUGCUUGUAAAAUAUAAAAUUUUAGCUUUUUUGCCUAAACAUUAUCUCGCCACCCUAUACAGUAUUUUUAGAGUAUCAGUAAGAUUGGAUAGCCUUAUGAGUCCCCCUAUCCAUAGGCUUUGGAAUCAAGUCAUUUGGAGGUUGGUAGGAAAAAUUAUGGCAUUUCUCGUGUACUACAAGAAGUCUAUCCGAGAGCAAUUGGUAAUACGAGUUUGAACAAUUUAGUAAGUGGUUAAAUGUUGUUGAAACACACUGAAAUUUAUAUUUUAUUUUUAGAUAUGUUGUAAAGAUGUUGUAUGCAUUUCAUGACAUUCAGAAUCCAACUGAUAAUCCAAAUAUGCACGAACAUUAUGUUGCACAGCGUCUUAGGUUAAAGACAAUAAGUUUGUUUAAAAUUAAUUUACUAUUUUUUUCUGAAAAACUUAAAAUCUUAAGAAUGCCUUUUAGGUAUCGAACUGGACUUAAGAUUCGGGGUGUUACAACUUGAUACGAGAGCUCAAGAUUUUAAAAAUUAUCUAUAAAUAUUAUCGAUGCAUAAAUAAAUCAUUUAUUUCUUUAGUAUGUACUUAUGCGUGUAGAUGUAAUUUAAAUGAGAACAUUUAGUAAUUAGUACUAUGUCAAUAUGACAUUAUUUAGCAUGUUAUGUGUUUAAAAACUUUAAAUAAAUUUGUUCAACGCAAAUGUCUUAUGUGCUUAAGAAAAGUAUUAAAAGCUAAAAAAAUGACUUAAUGAUUUGACUUCUCCUUGGUAUUCCGCAUCAAUUAAUCAUCUAGAUCUUCAAUCUAGGUUUGUUUUAUUUAACAUUUUCACGGAAAUUCAAAUUUAUGUUUUCCCGAAUUUUCAUUAGGUUGACUGAUUUAUCUCAUAAUUAGCAAAGAAUUCCACUGCUGUUUCUUGGAAAGCUUUAAAAAAACAUUAGAAAAUAAAGAUAGAAGAGUUCCCCACUAUUUACUGAAGAUUAAAAAGAGAUGACAUCCUAAUUUCUAAAGAAUAGAAAAAGAUCAAAUCUCACUCUGGAAACCCUAAGCUUUCUUUAAAACCAUCACCGGCCUGCAUCUCUCUUUAAAUCCAGUCAAUCAGGUAAAAAUUAAUAUCCAUUAUGCAUCUAUUCAUGAAGACAUAUACAAAAUUUGUUUAUAUUUAAAGAAAUUAUAACUGCAUUCCUUUGUAUAUUAGGAAUCUGUUAUGAAAUAUUUGGUAUUAUUGAAUUGUGGACAGGAUUUUGGACUUAAAUAAAUGUAAUUCAUGAAAUGGAGAAAUGAUGAAAGAAUAAAUGACACAGCUUCGGAGUGGCAUAUGAAAAAAAUUAUAAACUGAAGGAACCUUUUGAAUUUAUCUGAAUGUCUCACUUAACUUGUGUACUGGUUAGCAUGUACAUUUUUCGUGCGUUCCAUGUGCAAACUUAUGCAAUUAAUAAUGUGUCGAUACCAAAUAUUAAUUUUUCAAAUUAAUUCAUUGUGAUCUUUUUUCUAGGAUAUUUAAUAGUACUUACUAGUUUUUAGAAUCACUUAAUUUAAAAGAAAAUGAAACAAGUAUUGUGUUUACGUCAACACUAUCAUUUGCCGGUAUGACUUUCAUAGGAUUCAGUGUCUAUCACUUCGAUAAUAAGUUUUAAUUUAAAUUUACAUAUUGAAUAUGCAUGGAAUUUUUUGUGAAAAUUUAGUAUAUAAAAUGCAAAUUUAUGAAAAACAAUACAUGAAAUGUAAAUGAAUUGUGUAAGUACAGUUUAGAAUAAAAAAUAAUAAGUCUGUGUUGCUUCAGAGCACCUGGAGUUCGUCCCUUAGAUAUAAGUUUACCAUAUAUGUCGUUGUGUAAUUUAAUUGUCCCUAGGUUUCAAUUCCACUAGGUUUAAGGAAUACUGUAAUUUGCAUGUAUCGCGGGCCCCGAUAAUAAGGCAAUGGAUUUUGUUAAACCCAAUUUUUAAAAUUACCUUUUUUAAUCACGAAAUUAAUUUACUAAACAAUAAGUUAAUGAAAGUAUUGAAAUGUAAACAGACAGAACACAUUAUAUAAAAUAUUUUCUUCUUUAGGAAAAUGUAGUUUAAAAUAUUUUCGUAUAUUUUUAAAUAUUACACUAUAAAUAAUUAUUAAAUAAAAUGUAAACACAGAGAACACAUUAUAUAAAAUGUAACAAGAAAUAGUUACACAUAAUCUUGUAAAAACUUUCGUUUUAGUAACAUCCUGAUUGGAGAACUUGUGAGAGGAAAAAAAUUACACAUUGGAAGGCGUACAUUGAAAAUUAAGUUGUUAAACACAACUAAAGGAUUAUUCUUAUUUUCUAGUUUAACUUGACCAUGUGUACUAGUUAGCACAUGCAACGCUUUUGCAUUGCACCUAUAAAGUUCAGUUAAAUUACUAAUAAAAGCGUGAAUUUUAUUUAAUUUCUUUCCAAAAUACAGAAGUUCGUACAAAUAUAGUCGUCGUUACCUUCUUUUUGGAACCACUCAAGAGAAUUUAUUCGUAUCUAGAAUAACUUAAUUUUGAAAAGAAAUGGAACAAAUGCACAAUUAUUCUUGUGGGAGCAUCUUUUGUAAUAUACAAUGCCUAGAAGGAAAGGACCCAAUUACUGCAGCUUUUCAACUUGGAGAAUAGAUCAACAAAUGUAAAAAAUAUUCAUGGAAGAUGCUUGACUUGAAAUAGUCAUUGCAUAAUUUAUCAACGACCUUGGUGUCAAAUGUAAUCUUUGCAUAUUCUCUGUUCCUAAAUUCACCUAGCAAACACGAAAUGAGAAUAGAUUAUUACAUCUUGAAAAUGUAAGAUGUACACAUGUUUAUUAUAGUGAUAUGCACGUUUUUCCAACGAAUCUCGUCCGAGUUCAAGAAAACACGAAAUUCCUCCUUUCUUGAGCUCGCUUAGAUCAACAUGCACUGAGUGAUGACUAAACUUGGUUAGUUUCGAAUAUUGAACUUCUGGCAUCAAAGAAAAAUGCAUAAAUCCGUUGCCAGAGAAUUUGGGUGGUGGUCACCAUUUUGGUGGUGAUACGAACAAGGCAGUUGUGCAAGGGAAUGAAUCUUCCCGGGGAAAUGCCUCGAUUUGCAAAAUGUCCUUAACCCCAAAAUCAAAGUCACUUUCAAAGCUCACAAUGAAUGCAACAGUACUUAGGGUUAGUUUGUUUUCUUCGGAUGACUGGUUAUGAAAAAUAGUGAAUUUUGUCAAUUGAUUCAAUGCACGGCCUAAGCAAGUGCCUGGAAUGCUAUGUAAAAUUUAAUUACAUCGGAUAUGGAUAAAUUUAGUAAAUUACUCUUUGAAUUUUUAAUAAUAUCAUAAUGAUAGUUGACUUAUUUAUCUUAACUAAUCAGAGAAUACAUUGCUAUAUUUUUGAAAGCUCCAUCAACACAUGAUAAGAAGGAGUACCACACCAUUUACUCAGGGAAUUGCGUAUAAAAUAGUUAAUAAGAGAUGAAACCAUAAAUUAUAAACAAGAAAAGAGCUCAAUCCUCAAUGCUGUCACAGUCAGCCUUCAUGUCAUUGUCGCUUAUGUUUAUCUUCAAAUUAGUUAAUCAAGUAAACAUAAUGCUCAUCAUGUAUGUAUUGAAGAAUGCAUAAAUUGAUAAGAUUAGAUCGCGUGGACCUAAAUUUUGUCCAAUACGUGCAUUCCCUUUAAUAUUAUUGCUUUAGAAAGGGAUAUGGCAAAAAUUAUUAUUAUUAUUAUUUUUUACCAGACCUAGAGAAUUUGUAUUGACUUGUUUAACAUCAUGUAGACUAGUUAACAUGUGCAUUUCGCUUGCGCUCCAUAUCUAAAUUUAGCCCCUGUUUGAGCCACAUUAUUUUCAAAAAAAUACAUUUUUCAACAGUGAUUUGACGUCAUUUCAAUCACACAUUCUUUAAUAAAAUAACACACAAAUCUAAAACUUUUUUUUUAUUAUUUUUAACCACACAUUUCCCAUUAAUUUGACAUCAAUAAUGCAAUUUUUUCCCUAUAAUGUGACUCAAACAAGCCCUAAUAAAUGUUUCAAUAUGAUUUAUUUAUGUUAUUUCAAACCUUCAGAAAUUUAAUGUACUUACUAAUUACAUCGUUUAGAUAUUCUAUCCUGUGGUAUUAAUAAUAAUUGCCACUUUCUAUAGUCAUUUAAUUUCCAAUGAAAUGAAACAAAUGGAUAGUGUUGGAAAUCAAUUAUAAUCUAGUGCCACUUCAUUAAAGGAAUGGUAUAGUUAGGAUUAGUAAAAUUUACAGAGAUGGAUUAUAGCCAGGAAGGUUAUCAUGACACUGAUUUGGGUCGAUCAAAAAACAAAUUCCACUACGAUUAGUGGUGGUGCUAGCGGAGGUGGUGUUCCAGAAAUUGGGAUUUGAAGCUGAAGCGGUCUUGACGUUGCUGAUUAAAUUCUAAGUCCAAGAACAAAGAGGCCCUGGUGAGACCACACAUUGCUAUGAUGGGAAUGUUUCAUUCCAAGGUUGGAUUUCUCACGUUUGGAAGAUUCACCCCCUUGGAAAAGUGCUAUGGUCGCACCAACACCAAAAUGUUUGGCCACCCAAAUUAUCCUACAAUAGAUUUAUUAAUCUUUGAUGAUAGAACUUAAAUAUUCGAAACUAACCAAGCUUCGCAAUCACUCAAUGCAUGUUGAUCCAUACUUGUUUGGCAUGAUUAACUGGGGUAAGCUCAGGAAAAGAGGAAUUCAAUGUUUUUUUCUUUCAAGAACUUUAUAUCUUAAUAGCCAAUUUUGAAUCAUUUAUGCAUUUUGGAUUCGGGGCCCCAGAGUCCACAGCCAUCUCGUUGGGGAGAGAAAUAGGAUUUAACAGAAGAGGAAAAGUCUUGGCUUAAAAAAUGUCCUAAACCCCAAAAUUAAAGUCAUUUUCAACACUCACAAUGAAGGCAACAUUGCUUAGGGUUAGUUUGUUUUCCUCCACUGACUGCUUAUAAAAGACAUGAAUUUCGUCAAUUCAUUCCAUACACGGCCUAGCACCGUGCUUGGAAUGCUAUGUAUAAUGUAAUUACAUCGUAUUCUCUACAUUUCGGAAAGGCAUAUGCAAAAAUUACCUUUUUAUACAGGACCUCAAGAUUUUGUCUUGGCUUCUCAUUUAACUUCUUGUAGUAAGCAUGUGCAAUUCGCGUGUGCCGGAUGUAUAAAAUACGUAAAAUUAGUACUAAUUACUAUCUCAAUAUGAUUUGUUUAUUUUAUUUCAAACGUCCAGAACAUUAUUUUAAUUACUAAUUACCUCAUUGAAAAUAUUCUUUUAUACGGUAUUAAUAAUAAUUGCCACUCUAUAUAGUCACUUAAUUUCCAAUGAAAUGAAACUAGUGGAUAGUGCUGGAAGUGGAAUAUAAUCUAGCGUGUAUUAAUUAAAGAGAUGGCAUAGUUAGGGUCACUAAAAUUUACGGAGAUGGAUUAUGCCCAAGAAGGUUAUCAGGACAUUGAUUUGGGUUGAUCGAAAAACCCAUUUCGUUGUGACUGGUGGUGGCGCAAGUGGAUGCGUUGCUCCACAAAUUGGUGUUUGAGCCUAAAGUGGUCGUGGCGUUGCUGAUUAAAUUUUAAGUCCAAGAAUAAAGAGGCCUUGGUGGAACCACUUAUUGUUGUGAUGAGAAUGUUUCAUUCUGAGGUUGGAUUUCUCCCAUUGGAAGUUUCAACCCUUGCAAAAGUGCUAAUGCUCGCACCACCACCAAAAUGGUGGCCACCACCAACUUUUUCGUGCCCCUAAUUUAUGCAUUAAUCCUCACUGACAGAAGUUAGAUAUUCGAAACUAACCAAGCUUCGCUGUCACUCAAUGCAUGUUGAUCCAUACUUGUUUGGCAUGAUUGUCUGUGUUGAGCUCAUGAAAGGAGGAAUUCAGUGUUUUCUUCUUUUAAGAAAUUUACAUCUUGAAAGCCAAUUGAAUCAUAUAUGAAUUUUGGUUUUGGGCCCUAGAGUCCACAAUCUUCUCACUGGGGAGAGAAAUAGGAUUUUACAGAAUAGGAAAAGCCUCGGCUUCAAAAAUAUCCUUAAUCCCAAAAUCAAAGUAAUUUUCAAAGCUCACAAUAAAUGUAACAUUAAUUUAGGGUUAUUUGUUUUCUUAGGAUGAUUGCUUAUAAAAUAUAGUAAAUUUCGUCAAUUAAUUCAAUGCACAUGACUAGAUUGCUAUGUAAAAUUUGAUUACAAUGUAUACUAUAGGUUUUCGAAAAGCGUAUGGCAAAAAUAAGCUUGUUACACCAGACAUUGAGAAUUCGUCAUCACUUCUUGUUUAACUUCUUUUAGACAAGACAGCAUUUGGCAUGUGCUCCAUGUAUAAAAUUAGUAAAAUUAGUACUAAUUAAUUUCUCAAUAUGAUUUAUUUAUUUUAUUUCUAACUUUUGGGAAGUUAAUGUCUCACUAAUUACAUCAAUGAAAUGUUUCUUUCCAUGGUAUUAAUAAUUGCCACCUUCUAUAGUCACUUAAUUUCCAAUGAAACGAAACCAGUGGAUAGUGUUGGAAAUGGAUUGUAAUCUAGUGCCGCCUCAUUAAAGACAUGAUAUGGAUAGGAAUAGUAAAAUUUACUGAGAUGGAUUAUAGCCAAGAAGGUUAACAGGACAUUGAUUUUGGUUGAUCGAAAAACCCAUUCCUCUGUGGUUGGUGGUUAUGCUAGCGGAUGUGUUAUUUGAGAAAUUGAGGUUUGAGGCUGAAGCAGUGGUUGCAUUACUUAUGAGACUUUGAGUCCCAAAGAAAAAGGGGCCAUGAUGGAACCACAUAUUGCUAUAAUGGGAAUGUUUCAUUCCGAGGUUGGAUUUUUCCCAUCGAAAGAUUCAUCCCUUUUUAGAAGUGCCAUGUUCGCACCACCACCAAAAUGGUGUCCACCACCCAAAUUCAGGGUCUACACACUAAUCUUUGAAAACUGAAGUUAGAUAUUCUAAACUAACCAAGUUUCGCCAUCAGUACUCAAUGUAUUUUGAUCCAUACUUGUUUGGCAUGGUUAACUAUGUCAAGCUCAUAAAAGGAGGAAUUCGGUGUUUUUGUCUUUCAAGAACUUUAUAUCCUGAUAGCCAAUUUUGAAUCACAUAUGAAUUUUGGAUUUGGGGCCCUAGAGUCCAUAGCCAUCUCAUUGGUUAAGAAAUAGGAUUUGACAGAAGAGGAAAAGCCUCAACUUCAAACAUGAACUUAAUCCCAAAAUGAAAGUCAUGUUCAAGGCUCAAAAUGAAGGUAACAUUACUUAGGGUUAGUUUGUUUUCCUCUGAUGACAGCUUAUAAAAGACAGUGAAUUUCGUCAAUUCAUUCCGUACACGGCCUAGCACAUGCCUACAAUGCUAUGUAAAAUGUAAUUACAUCGUAUGCUCUAGGUUUCAAAAAGGCAUAUGGAGAAAAUUCCCUUUUUAUACAAGACCUUGAGAUUUUGUCUUGCCUUCUCAUUUAACUUCUUGUAGACUAGUAAGCACGUGCAUUUUGCGUGUGCUCGACAUAUAAAAUUAGUAAAAUAGGUACUAAUUAGUUUCUCAAUGUGACUUGUCUAUUUUAUUUCAAACUUUUACUUACUAAUUACAUCAUUGAAAAUAUUCUUUUAUACGGUGCUAAUAAUGACUACCACUUUCUAUAGUCACUUAAUUUCCAAUGAAAUGAAACCAGUGGAUAGUGUUGGAAAUGGAUUAUAAUCUAGUGCCACUUCAUUAAAGAGAGAUGGUAUAGGUUGGGCAACUAAAAUUUACAGAGAUGGUUUAUGCUGAGGAAGGUUAUCAAGACAUUGAUUUGAGGCUAAAGCGAUCGUGGCAUUACUGAUUUAAUUUUAAGUCCAAGAACAAAGAGGCCUUGGUGGAAUCACAUAUUGUUGUGAUGGGAAUGUAUCAUUCCAAGGUUGGAUUUCUCUCAUUAGAAGAUUCACCCCCUUGCAAAAGUGCUAUGCUCGCACCACCACCGAAAUGGUGGCCACCACCAAAAUUUUCCUGCAUCUGAUUUGUGCAUUAAUCUUCACUGAUAGAAGUUAGAUAUUCGAAACUAACCAAGCUUGGCCAUCACUCAAUGCAUGUUGAUUCAUACUUGUUUGGCAUGAUUACUUGUGUUGAGCUCAUGAAAGGAGGUAUUCAGUGUUUUCUUCUUUUACAAACUUUAUAUCUUGAAAGCCAAUUUUGAAUCAUAUAUGAAUUUUGGCUUUGGGGCCCUAGAGUACACAACCUUCUCGUUGGGAAGAGAAAUAGGAUUUUGCAGAAUAGGAAAAGCCUCGGCCUCAAAAAUGUCCUUAAUCCAAAAUUAAAUUCAUUUUCGAAGCUCACAAUGAAAGUAACAUUACUUAGGGUUAAUUUGUUUUCCUUGGAUGAUUGCUUAUAAAAUAUAUUAAAUUUCAUCAAUUAAUUCAAUGCACGUACCUGGAUUGCUAUGUAAAAUUUAGUUACAUCGUAUACUCUAGGUUUUCGAAAAGUGUAUGGCAAAAAUACGCUUGUUACACUAGACCUUGAGAAUUCAUCAUCAUUCUUGUUUAACUUCUUGUAGAAAAGUUAGCACAUGCAUUUUGCAUGUGCUCCACGUAUAAAAUUAGUAAAAUUAGUGCUAAUAAAUUUCUCAAUAUGAUUUAUUUAUUUUAUUUCAAACUUUUGGAAAGUUAAUGUCUCACUAAUUGUCUGUGGUAUUAAUAAUUGCCACGUUCUAUAGUCAGUUAAUUUCCAAUGAAACAAAACCAGUGGAUAGUGUUGGAAAUGGAUUGCAAUCUAGUGUUGCCUCAUUAAAGAGAUGGUAUAGAUAGGAAUAGUAAAAUUUACUGAGAUGGAUUAUAGCUAGGAAGGUUAUCAAGACAUUGAUUUUGGUUGAUCGAAAAACCGAUUCCUCUGUGGUUGGUAGUUAUGCUGGCGGAUGUGUUAUUUGAGAAAUUGAGGUUUAAGGCUGAAGCAGUGGUAGCAUUGCUAAUGAGAUUUAGUCCAAAAAAAUAAAAAAAUAGGCCAUGUGGAACCACAUAUUGCUGUGAUGGUAAUGUUUCAUUCCAAGGUUGGAUUUCUCCCAUUGGAAGAUUCAUCCCUUUUUAGAAGUGCCAUGUUCGCACCACCACCAAAAUGGUGACCACCACCCAAAUUCUCCGGCAGGGUUUACGCACUAGUCUUUGGAUACAGAAGUUAGAUAUUCUAAACUAACCAAGUUUCGCUGUCACUCAUUGCAUGCUGAUCCAUGCUUGUUUGGCAUGCAUGAUUAACUGUGUUAAGCUAAUGAAAGGAGGAAUUCAUUGUUUUUGUCUUUCAAGAACUUUAUAUCUUAAUAGCCAAUUUUGAAUCAUAUAAGAAUUUUGGAUUCAAGGCCCUAGAGUCCACAGCCAUCUCAUUGGGGAGAGAAAUAGGAUUAAAUUCUGAAUCCAUGCUUGUUUGGCAUGAUUAAAUUUUAAGUCCAAGAACAAAGAGGCGUUGCUGGACUCACGUAUUGUUGUGAUGGGAAGUAUCAUUCCGAGGUUGGAUUUCUCUGAUUGUAAGAUUCACCCCCUUGCAAAAGUGCUAUGCUUGCACCACCACUGAAAUGAUGGCCUCCUGCACUUGAUUUGUGCAUUAAUCUUCAGCGACAAAGGUUAGAUAUUUGAAACUAACCAAGCUUGGCCAUCACUCAAUGCAUGUUGAUUCAUACUUGUUUGGCAUGAUUACCUGUGUUGAGCUGAUGAAAGGAGGAAUUCAUUGUUUUCCUCUUUUAAGAACUUUAUAUCUUCAAAGCCAAUUUUGAAUCAUAUAUGAAUUUUGGUUUGGGGGCCCUAGAGUCCACGACCUUCUUGUUGGGGAAGGAAAAUAGGAUUUUACAGAAUAGGAAAUGCUGGGGUUCAAAAAUGUCCUUAAUCCCAAAAUCGGAGUCAUUUAAAAGUUCGCAAUGAAUGUAACAUUACUUAGGGUUAGUUUGUUUUAUUAGGAUGAUUGCUCAUAAUAUAUAGUAAAUUUUGUCAAUUAAUUCAAUGCACGGACUAGCACUUGCCUGGAUUGCUAUGUAAAAUUUAAUUGCAUCAUAUACUCUAGGUUUUGGAAAAGCAUAUGGCAAAAAUUACUGUGUAACACUAGACCUUGAGAUUUCAUCAUCACUUCUUGUAGGCUAGUUAGCUAGCAAGUGCAUUUUGCACGUGCUAUAUGUACAAAAUCAGUAAAAUUAUCACAAUCAAUUUCUCCAUAUUUCAAAAAGUUAAUGUACUUACCAAUUACAUCGUUGAAAUAUUCUUUUCUAUGGUAUUAAAUUGCCAUUUUCUAUAGUCAGUUAAUUUCCAAUGAAAUGAAACUAGUGGAUAGUGUUGGAAAUGGAUUAUAAUCUAGUGCCACUUCAUUUAAGAGAUGGAAUAGAUAGGACUAGUAAACUUUACUGAGAUGGAUUAUAGCCAGGAUGGUUAAUGGGACACUGAUUUGGGUUGAUCGAAAAACACAUUCCUCUGUGGUCGGUGGGUAUGCUAGCAGAUGUGUUAUUCGAGAAAUUGAGGUUUGAGGCUGAUGCAGUGAUGGUGUUGGUGAUGAUAUUUUGAAUCAAAAAACAAAAAGCCAUGGUGGAACCACAUAUUGCUGUGAUGGGAAUGUUUCAUUUCGAGGUUGGAUUUCUGGAAUGCUAUGUAAAAGAUUAGUAAAAUUAGUACUAAUUAGUUUCUCAAUAUAAUUUGGUUAUUUUAUUUCAAACGGUCAGAACGUUAUUGUACUUACUAAUUGCAUCAUUGAAAUAUUUUUCUAUGGAAUUACUAAUAAUUGCCACUUUCUAUAGUCACUUAAUUUCCAAUGAAACGAAACCAGCAAAUGGUGUUGGAAAUGGAUUAUAAUCUAGUGCCACUUCGUAAAGAGUUGGUAUUGAUAGGAUUAAUAAAAAUUACUAAGAUGGAUUAUAGACAGGAAGGUUAUCAGGAAAUUGGGGUUGUGUUGUGGCUGUUGGUUGUGCUAAUGAAGGCAUUGUGUUAUUCCAGAAAUUGGGGUUUGAGGCUGAAGCGAUGUGGCCUUGCUGAUGAAAUUUUGAGUCCAAGAACAAAGAAGUGUUGGUGGAUGACCAUUGACUUUUUGUAAUUUGAAGGCAUGAACAAGUAAUAAAGUAGUGAAUAGAGUGUCGAACCCAAGAGAACUAUUCAUUUGAUCGAUUUAAAAUUAAUUGUAACUUUAAUCGAAUAGUGAACAAGUUGUUGGAAUUUUUUAUAUUUAAAAACCCUAAAUUAUUAAUUGAACUACUGAAAGCAAGUAAACGUAUUUUCCAAAUAUGUGAAAUGCAUAAUCAAAAUGUCGAAUCCCCCUUGUAAUUCCAUUUUUAGUGUAACAAUUAAAGUGAGAAUUUGAAAUUAUUCAUGUUGGUCAAUAUUCCUAAUUUAAUUGAAAACUUCUCUUCAAAGCGAUCAAAUCUUAUUAUGUGAACCUCCUAUCACUCGAUGAAAAAUGCAAGUAUGAUAAAUGCAUCAACAAGUGCUAGAACACCUAUUGAAACUAUAUAAAGCAUAGAUACAUCUCUAUUCUUUAUUGAACUUUAUAGUGUUUGUUUUAUUGUGCUUAAACCCUAUUGUCUCUCUUGAUAGCAAUAAAAUUCACUAACAAUUCAAAUGGCGAUCAAGCAAUUGAAAAGAACAAUAAAAUCAAUAAUAAAAAUUCACAAAUUUUCGAGUAAAAAAUUAGUUCUUUUUUUAUGCUUAGACUCCAAUUUUAUGUCACAUGCAUAUUUCAACUGCUUUUGACUCAAUUAAUGUUUUCCUUUAACUAGGCUAAGUGUCAAUGAUGAAGAUAACCCCCAAACUAAAUUGAAACGUGCCUAAAUCUACUACGAACUAAUAAUUAAAAUAAACCUAUGUGCAAUGCAACACAAAAGAUAGAAUAAAUAAGAGGGUUUGAAAAUUUGGCUUCCUUCCGAUAAAAGUUUAAUUUAUAGUCCUUAGGUAGACUGUAUGAAGGAACAAAACAUGGUUAUUCAAAUAGUUGUCUUGAGCUCUUGCACUCCUCGCAAUUUCCAGUUUUACGUCCUCUUUUUACCUUCCAGACUUUGAACUCUUCAUUCUCCUCUCGACUACGGAUUCACAUAUUUUUAGGCUUUGUCUCAUUUGAGCCUUGUUGCGCCUUUUUAGCAAUAUAUUUUCACUCCUCCUUAGCAUUUACACUAAUCUCUUCGUGCAAUGGGUUUUUGAUAGUAGUGUAGAUCUUGAACUUCUCUUGCUUAUCAUCCAUUCUCAACGUCAAAGUCCAUGAUAGCUCAAGUUGUUGAUAAAAAGGAUCUGCCCAAGAUAAGUAAUGUUGCAUCCCAUGGCUCCUCUAUUGGACAACGAAAUCAACUGAGAAUAAGAGCUUUCCCAAUUUAAUGAGCACAUUUUCAAUUACUCAUAGUGAGUAUUUGAUUGAUUUUCCACUAAUUGAAAGGAGAUGGACGUGUCUUUCAGCUCUUCCAAACCUAAGUUCCUGUAAACAGAAAAAUGCAUUAGAUUUAGCCCUCGUUCGGUCCCCAUUUUUUGAAGCAAAAAUGGGUGGAAUAGUGGUUUUUUGAAAAAUGAGUGGUUGAAAAAGAAGUAAAAAUUUUCGAUUUACUUGUAAUAUUAUUUUAUUGAAUAUUGUGUGGUUGAAAAUAGGAGAGAGAAAAAUGAAAUGUAAUGUAAUUUAGCCCUUUCUUGAUCCCCAUUAUCUGAAAAUAAAAAUGGGGGAAUAGUAUUUUUUAGAAAAAUGAAUGGUUGAAAAAGAAGGAAAAAUUUUCGAUUACGUGUAAUAUUAUUUUAUGGAAGAUUGUGUGGUUGAAAAUAGGAGAGAGAAAAAUGUAAUGUAAUGUAAUUUAAUUUAAUGGGGAUCAAACAUGGGCUUAAUGUAAUAGGGGCCAAACACGAGCUUAUACUUACUCCCGUGUCACAUAAACAAUUAAAUUUCAAAAAAAAUCCUGUUGAGCUAGGUGCAUAGUACCCUAAAUCUUUUAGUUUAAGAGGUAAUUUAUUCUGCAAGAUAGCAAUAAACUCCUCAUUUAAAUUGAAGGUCUCAAAAUCUGUAAGCUUUCUCUUUUUGGAUAGAAUCUCUUUCAGAAACUUUGCAUAGUUUGGUAUUUGAGAUAUAGCAUCAAUCAGUGAAAUGUUGACAUAAAGUUUCCUUAAGAAGUCCAAGAACUUUGCAAACUGUUCUUCCAGCUUCUUCGUUUGCAAUCUCAGUGGGAAGGGUAUUUGUGGAGCAUAUUCUCUGGUGGAAGUAGUUAUCUUAACCUUUGGAACCUCUAAUACUUUUUUCUUCUUAUGAUUCUAUAUUCAGCUCACAUUUCUUCAAGUGCUCCUCAUCUAUGGGAGGCACCUUUUUAUUCACUACCACCUGCCCUUCAACUAUAAUUUCUAGAAGUUGAGCCCCGCUACUUGUAGUGAUUGGCUCAAUCCGUUCUCUUUUCGGAACUUUUACAUCUAUUACCUUCUGUUUGGGAUUUAUUUCAAUGUUGCUUGGCAGUGCUCCUGGUUGUCUUUAUGAGAGUGCCUUAAUUAUUUGUCCCAUCUAAUUUUCUAAAUUCUUGAUGAUAACUCCAUGAAAUUGCAAAGCUUUAUCAUUUUAUUAUUAUUAUUAUUAUUUUUUUUUGUAAGUGCUAUGUAGAGAUCUUCUCCAAUUUAGUAACAAGAUUUGCUAACGAAGACUUAUUUUCGAUCAGCUGAAAUCUUGGCGGUGCUGUUCGUUGUGGUGCCAAUUGGGCUUGUUGAUUGUUGUUCUACUAGAAACCUGGAUGAUUUCUCUAGCCCAAGUCAUACGUGUUAGGAUUUUGAUUGUGUUGCUGCCUUUGAAAUUUUUUAGUAUAAUUUACAUCCUCUAUUGACUGAACAAAAGGAUUAGUAGUAGUGCAGUCAAUACUCUCAUGGUUCCUUCUACAAUGCUUGCAUUUCGGUCUAGCUAUUUGAAUUGUACUCAACUAAGUGGAUAUUGCUAUUAAAGAAUCAACUUUAUAUACCUCAGCAACUUUUUUUUCACUCACCCUCUCAGUAGGCCAAAGUGCACUAGUGAAUACUCCUCCAUUAUUUUGUAGACCUGAUUUGCAGUUCUUUUUGUGAUAGAACAAUCUAAUAAUCAACAUUAGCCUUGCUAAUUGGAUUCAAACCAGUGUAAAAGUAUUGCACCUAGAGCCACUUCAUUAAUCCAUGUCGGCAUUGAAGGAAUAGUCUCUUGUAUCGCUCCUAAGCCUCUGAAUAACAUUUGGAGUCCAACUGCUAGAAUGUAGUAAUCUCAUCGCUUAGCGUUGUAAUCCUUUUUAGUGAAAAAUAUUUGUUAAGGAACUUCUAAUUCAAUUGGUGCCAUAUAUUGAUGCUUUGUAGUGGACAAGUGUCUAACCACUUUCUGGCGGAGUCUCUCAAUGUAUAUGGGAAAAGCCUCAGUCUAAUUGCUUUGCUAAAAAUUCUCCGAUACUUGAUCGUUGCAACAUGUCCAAAAAUUUUGAUAUGCGAGCAUCAGGGUUCUCAAUAGUUUUUUUUUUUUCAAAGAACCUCAGAGCAUUUUGGAACAUGUAUAUGACAUCCAUCCUCAAUUGAAAGUUUACCUGACCAAAUGUCGAAUAUAAUAUGCUAGAUUGACUUUCCACAAUCGGUGGAACCUUGUACUUCCCCAUUAUCCUUGCAUUUUCAUUAGCUACAACUACAUUUGGUUGUACUAACCCUGAUGGUUAUUUGAUUCAGAUUUCAUUUGCCACAUCUUCCUCUUUCAGUUUUUGGCUUAUUUUCAACUAUUGUCUUUUUCGAAGGUUGAAUGUUAUCCUCGAGCAAAUUGAGCAAGAGCAUUGGUUCUCGUACUUCACAUACAAGGUCCUAAAAACGAAGCAAGAAACACUGUAAAGCUUUUUAAUAUAAUAAUCUAAACUAAAAAAUCAGUAAAAUUUAGAUUGAAACUAAAAUUAACUAAACUUAUAAAAAACAAUAGUCCACGACAACUGCGCCAUUAUCUUGACCUUUGAUCUCCCACAAGUGGACGAGAUCGUGAAUAGGUAAUAAAGUAGUGGAUAGAGUGUCGAACCCACGAGAAUUAUGUAUUUGAUCUAGUUAAAAUUAAUUGUAACUUUAAUCGAAUAGCAAACAAGUUUUUGUAAUUUUUCUAACUAAAGCCUAAAUUUUUAAUUAAACUUUUGAAGCAAUUAAAUGUGUUCUUCAAAUAUGUGAGAUGCAUUACAAGAUGUCGAAUUCCCAUAGUUAUUCCAUUUUUAGUGUAACAAUCAAAGUGACAGUUUGAAAUUAUUCACGUUGAUCAAUAUUCUAAAAUUUAAUUGAAACUCUCUCUCGAUAACAACCAAAUCUUUUCCCCUCAUGUGAAGUCACUUCUUUUGGUUUCAUAAGUUGGGCGGUAGCCCAGAUUUAUAAUUGGGUAGUCGCCAAGUUAUAUACAUCAUUCAAACUUUGCAUUUUGCUCCUCGAAUUUGAUUCUUGAUUCUUUGAAGUCAUUUCCCUUGCAAUUCCAUUUAUUUAACUUCUAAUUGCAUCCAAUUAAACCUGUAACAUCUUCAAUCUUCAUUUUAUGAUCCGAAUCAACUAUUGAAAUGUUGCAAUUAUUGUUCUCAUACUUUGGAUUUCACAUUUUUGGCCAAUUUUUGCUUCUUCCUUUCAAUUCCUUAUUCAACCAUUUAGUUUUAUCUAUAUAAUGCAAAAUACAACAAUUUAGGAUAUAUUUUGUCAAAACAACUACUAAGUAUCGCUAUUUUAGGCUCCGAAUAAGCGUAUAAAAUACACUUAUCAGUGGAGCCAUGUAUUGCUGUGAUGGUAACGUUUCAUACCUAGGUUGGAUUUCUCCUAUUUAAUGAUUUACCCCUAGCAAAAGUGCUAUGCAUGCACACCCCAAAAUGGUGGCUAUCACCCAAAUUCUAGUGCACCUGAUUUAUGCAUUAACCAUUUAUGAAGGAAGUUAGAUAUUCGAAACUAACCAUGCUUCUUCAUCACUCAAUGCAUGUCGAUCCAUAAUUAUUUGACAUGAUUAUCUGUGUUGAGCUCAUGAAUCCUAUUAAGUGUUUUCUUCUUUUAAGAACUUUGUAACUUGAUAGUCAAUUUUGAAUCGUAUAUGGGGCCCUAAAAUCCAAACCUCCUCUUACGGGAGAGAAAUAGGAUUUGACAAGGAAAAGCCUCACCUUAAAAAAUGUCCUUACUCCUAAAAUCAAAGCCAUUUUCAAAGCUUACAAUGAAUGAAACAUUACUUAGGGUUAGUUUGUUUUCUUUGGAUGACUGCUUCGAUAAUAAAUUUCAUCAAUUAAUCCAACGCAUGGCCUAACAUGUGUCUAGAUUGCUGUGUAAAAUUUAAUUACUUCGCAUUUAACUUCUUGUAUAUUAUUUAGCACAUGCAUUUUGCUUGUGCUCUAUGUAGAAAAUUAGUAAAACUAGUACUAAAUAAUUUCUCAAUAUGAUUUUUUUAUUUUAUUUUAAACCUUCAGAAAUUUAAUGUACUUACAAAUUACAUCAUUGAAAUAUUCUUUUCUAUGGUAUUAAUAAUAAUUGCCACAUUCUAUAUUCACUCAAUUUCCAAUGAAAUGAAACCAAUGGAUAGUGUUGGAAAUUGAUUAUAAUCUAGUACCACUUCAUUAAAGAGAUAGGAUUAGUAAAAUUUACUGUGAUAGAUUAAAGCCAGGAAGGUUAUCAGGACACUGAUUUGGGUUGAUCGAAACACCCAUUCCAUUAUGGUUGGUGGUUGUGCUAGCGGAGGUGUUUUUCCAGAAAUUGGGGUUUGAGCAAGGGUGAAUCUAGGACUUUGAUUUAGAUAGGGCAGCCAUUGAUCGUUGGCCGUUGACUGUCGAUAGUCAACGGCCGUAUAGCGAUGUCGUUUAUUAAUAUUAAAUUAAAUAAUAUUAAAAAUUCUUCGAUCUAUAUGUAAAUAAACUAAAACAUAAAAAUCGUAUAUUUGUAUCAUAUUAUAGUUCAAUACAAUCCGAAAUAGUAUAAAUUACAUGGUACAUAAGAUAUUUUUGUGUUAUCAAUACUUAACAAAUCGUUUGCUUGACUAAAAGUAGUUGAGAGAUUAGAUACACCACUACAAGAACUAGAUUGAGUUUCAGUUGAAAAAAGCAUUCCAUAAUCAGUAUGAGAAUUGAAAUUUAAUCAAAGAUUAAACAUAAUUAAAAUUAAUUUUAAAAUAUAAUUAAAGUUUCAUUUUCCAAUUCUCAAUACCAAUUCAUCACAAAUUAUAAAUUUUCCAAUUUCUCAUUUUCAAUUUUCAUAAAUCACAUAUUCAGGAUACUCAAAUUAAUUUUUAAUAUCACAAUUCAUAACAGACAAAUUCUCAAAUAACAUAUAAAUUAAGCCCCUGUUUGAUCCCCAUUAAAUUAAAUUACAUUACAUUUCAUUUUUCUCUCUUCUAUUUUCAACCACACAAUCUUCCAUAAAAUAAUAUUACAUGUAAAUCGAAAACUUUUCCUUCUUUUUCAACCACUCAUUUUCUAAAAAAUACUAUUCCUCUCAUUUUCAUUUUCAGGUAAUGGGGAUCCAACAUGGGCUAAAACUCAAUAUUCAAAAUUUAUAUCUUGUAAAUUAUUAAAGCAUAAAAUAUUUAAAACAACAAAAACCAACCAAAAAAAAAAAAAAGGUCAUUGAUUGGCCUAGAGUCUUAACAUAUACUAUUUUGUUAAAUUUAAAUUCAAAAUUCAACUACUGCCAUGAUGGUUAAGCUUCCUAUCAUUCUAACUAGAGGCCAUAGGUUCGAAUACUUUUCUUAGGGAAUUAAUUUUGUUAAAUAAUGUAGAAAUAAAAAUUUUGCACAAUAAAAUGGACGGGAAGGACUCGAUCCCAAGACUAGCAAUAUAUGAAUGCAAGCUCUAACAAACUAGGCAGAAGAGGAGGUUGAAAAUAAAAUGAACUACUAGUUAUAUAACCUAAAUUUUUUUUAUCUAUUAUCAACCAAAAAAAUUCUCCCUCGACGAAUCCAGCACCACCUAAAUCCGCCCCUGGGUUUGAGGCUGAAGUGGUGGUGGCGUUGCUAAUGAAAUUUUGAGUCCAAUAGCAAAGAGGUCUUGACGGAGCCAUAUAUUGCUGUGAUGGGACAAUUUCAUUCUGUGGUUGGAUUUGUCCCACUUGAAUAUUCAUCCCUUUUCAAAAAUGCUACGUUUGCACCACCACCAAAAUGGUGGCCACCACCCAAAUUCUAGUGAACGUGAUUUAUUCCUUUGAUGUCAAAAGUUAGAUAUUAUAAACUAAGAGCCUGUUUGGGAAUAAUUUUGAGAAUUGAUUUUUUGAUCGUUAGGAAAUAAGUGGGGUCCACCUGUGAGAGAAGAAGUCAAAUAUGACGGCUGAAUAAUGAAAUAACGGUCAAAAAAUUUACUUUUUGGAGGAAAAAAUCACUCCCAAACAGGCUAUAAAUAAGUUUUGCUAUUUCUAAAUGCAUGUUGAUCUUUACUUGUUUGGCAUGAUUGCCAGUGUUGAGUUUAUAAAAGGAGGGAUUCAAUGUUUUCUUCUUUUAAGAACAUUAUAGUUUCAUAGCCAAUCUUGAAUCAUUUAUGAUUUUAGGAUUUAGGGCAUUGGUGAAAGAGAGAGAGAGGAUUUGACAAAAGGUAGAAAUAAAAUAAUAUUUUUCUAAUUCUCGUACCAAACCUAAAGGCAAUGGCAAAAAAAAUUCUCUUAUAGAUAAUGUAGCAAUCACCUUUGCUCUAUUUUCAAUGUGUAGCUCAAUUUCUCCCUUCUACAAUGAUCUACAUCAUUUUAGCCCCUCGUUUGAUCCUCAUUAAAUUAAAUUACAUUACAUUCCAUUUUUCUUUCUCCUAUUUUCAACCACACAAUCUUUCAUAAAAUAAUAUUACACGUAAAUCGAAAACUCUUCCUUCUUUUUCAACCACUCAUUUUUCUAAAAAAAUACUGUUCCCCCCAUUUUCAUUUUCAGUUAAUGGGGGUCGAACGGGGGCUUAGUUUUUGCAUAUCUAUACAAAUAUAACAUCCAUAUCUACUAUCUAAUACUCUAGAAGCUAAUGAAGUAGAUAUAAACCUUGCAUUUUUUCUUUCAAUGACCUUUCAUUUCACAAUGAUAUUAAGGGUCAUCAAACUUGAUGAUGUAUUUAUUUGCUUUAACAGCCUUGGCGAAAACUUGUCCAUUACUAACUUUGAUAUUGGGCUUAACAAUCUUAAGAAUGUUUAGUAACUCCAGGGGUAUGCACUAGAGCUUAUUUAUAUCAAAAUUCACAAUUAGGUAUGAAUAGAUUUGUAGCAAGAUUGUAGAACCAAGUCAAUACUUUGUACCCAAUUGAAAUAACUUCUCAAUAUAGCCAAUCAUCUUUGGUACGUGAGCAUUGACUGAAGAUCUUUAUGUGAUUUUGUACUGGUACAAUUUUUUGAAGUCUCAUAUCUUUUCACAUUUGAUUGUUCAUUAUACAAUUCUUUGAGAUUAAAAAUCAUAGAAUUAGCAUCCAUAUCUCAAGUUGCUUUUGCAAAUCAAAUGACAUAACUGUAAGCAUCAUAUAUGUUGCAUUAUUAUUGUCAUUACUAUGUUUAUUAUAAGCAGUUACCUCUUCUGAAGUAAAGUCCUCGGUGGGUGUCUCUAGAAAUUAUUGUUCAAGGAUAUAACUGAUUUUCUCAUGCCUGAAAAUAAUUCUUAGAUUGCGGUGCCAAUCGAGAAAAUUUAACCAGAUUAGUGUUGUUGGCAUCCAAUAUGCCUCUCAAAUUCAUAUGGUUACUAACACUUAAAAAUUAUAAAUGACAAAGAAUAAAGAAUUAAUAUAUUUGGAAAAAUACAUCAAUUAAUUUAACCAUGACUUUUAUUAAAUUAUUUUUGCUCUUAAUGUUUAAAAUAAAUUUAUGACCCUUUUACAAAAAAUAGUUGAAUCCAUACUUAAUUUUAAUGGGCUCGGAUCCCAUUUUUUAUAUUAAGAUCUUGAGUAUACUUAAAUACCUUUGGGUAGAUAUUAUUAUCAAUUGUAUUUUAACACAACUUUCAGAUCAUCAAGCUGACUAGUCUUUGUGUUCACACAUCCCAUAUAUUAGCUUAAUAUGCAUCUAGAAUUUAUCUAUUUAAGUGUAUACAACAAAAGAUAAACUUUAGUUAAGUCAACUUCAUCAUUCAAAAAUAUCUAAUAUUUCAUAGUGUAAUACAUCUACCUAAUGAACCAGUCUUGGGUGUACUCAACAAGCUAAUAUCGAUUUAGAGCUCCCGUUUUUUACUAUAAUGAUGAAAGGUGAAUAAUAACUCUGAUUUAAUAUUUUAACGACGGGUUUUAUCAUACAAAUGUCUCUUCAUAAUAAUUAUAUAUAUUUUAUCAUGUAUCUAGCAUGCAAAUAAACAUACAUAUGAUAGCAUGGAUGAUUAUGGACUUAUAAUAGCUAGCCUUCCCAAGACAAACGAAAGACUAGAUGGUUAGUUCCUAUGGAGGUAACGAUACGACCUCUGAGUUUAAGUCAUUAAAUUAAGUAUUGUCCAUUCUGGGAGAACAUGAGCUCAUCUUACCCUUCAUGAAUUUCUGUCGAGUUCUCACAUAGAAUAAUUUUUGACAUUUUCCUUAAGAGAGAUUUAAGUUGAAUAUUGGUACCAGUUAGGCAACUGAGCUCGUCUGUAACCCUUUAUGGAUGUCUGUCGCAUCCCCAUAAUUUGAACCAUGACCUUUCUCUUAAGAGACUUAAGCUGAAUCCUGGUACCAAUUGGACAAUUUGCUCAAUUGGCAUCAAGAUUAAACUUAAGUCUCUCCUAAGAGAAAGGUCAUGGAUUCGAAUCUUGAGGAGGCUACAAAAAUUCAUAAGCAGUAACAUAGGCUUAAGCUCUCCUAGAGCGGAUAGUAUGUAGAUUAACGGGUUGAUCAUAGAGGUCGGGUCAUUAUAAAAAAAGGGCUUUUUGUGACAACCCGAACCCUAUGCCCUACGUUUCUCACCAAGUGAGCUCACAAUGUUAAUUUUGAGAUUUUUAUAUAAAUGAAUGGAAAGGGUAAUGCUACGUGUAUAUACAGGUUUACACUCCUCUCACAUGGAGGGGGCAUGAUUUGAGAGGAGUGUAAACCCGUGUAUACACGUUGAGGUGUACACGUAGCAUUUUUAAUUAAAAAAGGGAUUUAUGUUGAGAUGCUUUUACUUUAAAGUAAUUCAUAUUCAUAUCAUGAGCAUGCAUCAUAUGCAUGGGUUUGGUUACUAAGCUUUAACUAAUUCCACGUUUUCCCUCCCCAUUUUUAGAUGAUAAAAAUAAUAAUUCGAUAUGACUACUUGUGUAAGACAAACUCAGUACUAAUAUAACUUAAAUAUUGAUUUUAUUUUAAAUAAAGUUAAAUUUUAAUUUAACCAUAUGGCGGGUGGCUCAAUGACCAGUGACCAUAUGGCCUAAUUGUCUAACCUCCCUCAUCUUACUAACAUUUCCCAAAUGUGCUGGCCCAUGUUGUAGUUGGAGUCCACUAAUACUCUUCAUAUUGCCUCACAAUCUCAUAUCGAUGAGGCAUUGAUAAACUUUCUUUCUACAAGUUUUCUUAAUCCAUACCAUCUGAGUCAUACCAAUUAUUCAAAGUCCAAUAAGUGGGUGUCUAGUAAAUUUUAGUUAAUUCUCGAGAACUUAAAUAAACAUUUCAUUUGGUCAUGUUCUCAAAAAUAUUUGGUAAAAUAAUGAUUAUCCACGAAAGUAUUCAAACUCUAACAUAUGCUAAUAUUCAUACUUACAUUUCAAAUAUUGUAUCUAAAAUAAACUUUCUCAUACUCAUCACAUAGAUAUAAGCAUAUUUAUAAAACUUUCUUUACCUUAAAAUUGGCGUAGCGCAACUAUGGCAGGCAUAGUGCCUAAUCCUCAUAAAUAGAUCAACUUUAUAUGUUAUACAACACACCUAAGAUAUGGCUUCUAAUGAAAGUCUACAGAAAAAAAUCAUGCUUUGAUACCAAGUUGUAACGCCCCAAAUUCUUGGAACCUAAAGCGCUCUAAAAUCAAAUUUUCUUUAGUUUGACGCCUUUGAUGUUAACCAAAAUAAAUUUCAAAUGAGAAAAAAAUUUUGGAUUUUGAAAUAAAAAAAAAAAUAAUGAUUGAUAUUUGUCCACAUAGAAGUGACAACUAUGAUGAAAUUUUAUUUUGGAAAAGAUUUUGGGAAAAAUAAGCGAGUACCAGUUGCACAACAGCAGAUUGAACAAUAUAUUUUGCCAAGCAGACGUCGACUAAAAAUUUUGAAAUUUUAAUGGAGACUAUUACAUUCAAAUAUGUACAGCAUAUAAAAAAUUGGUCUCAACGAUAGUGUUUGUAGCACGAAAAUAUUGUUCGACCAUGCUGGAUAGAAAAUUCGAAUCUGACCUGACAAAGUCUAUUAAAAUGGACAUAACUUUUUAUCUAGAUAAUAUUUUAAGAAAAUUCCAAAGGCCACUGUUAGAAGACUCAUAAACCUUUCAAACCCCACUAAUUUCACUCUAAAACAUGCACUAUAGCCAAGUUAUAUAAUAUUCAAAUAGAAGGAUAGAAUCUAAAAUUCAAUCCAACAACAAAUAAACUUUAUGCAGUCAUUUCGACAUUUUCAAAUUAUGGCUGACAUGAAAUAUAUAUAAAACUAGACGGAUCAGGUGUUUAAACAUUUUUAAAUUCGUCAUCUAAGUAUUCAUAAUAGAUUCACACAAACUCGAAAUUUUACUAGAAAGUUGAAAGCCUUUCAAAUCACUGAGCACUUUCCAUUAUGCCAAACUACUGCCAUGCCUCGAAUCAACCUAUAAAAUUUUAGUAGGGAUGAGUACCGCAAGUAAUACUUAGUAGGAAAAUGUCAAAAAUGCAAACUUUGGUCAUUUAUGUCACCGUCAAUCUCUUUCUCUUAAUUGAACCACUCAAACGGUGCUUCCUUCAUGAGUAACACAAUAACAUAAAUGCAAAAUUUGGUCAUUAGAGUCAUCGUCAAUCUCUUUCUCUUAUUUGAACCUCCAAAUGUUGUUUUCAUCAUGAGUAACACAAUAACACAUUUAGUGCAAAAUAAAAACAAAUAAUUCUUACUUCACGUAUAAAAGUACCGAAAACACCCCUACCUUAAACGCUUGGAGUUUGAAUACCCUUUUUGUGUCCAAAAUAAAAUAUAGCGUACUAAGCCCUCUUCUUUAAAUAAAUUUUCAGACUCAAAGAACUUUAGUCUAUAGAAAAAGGCAAAAUAAUUCAUGUAUAGGUACAAUAGUUUAGGAGAGAAAAAUGUGGCCUUAGAGGUUAUAGGAGAUUUUUGAUUUUCAAUUGCAAAAGAAUGAUGGCAAUAGCAAUAGCCAAAAUGGGAUUAAAAAGACAAUUUAUUGAAAUAUUAAUUAUGUGCAUAAUUGGUGAGUUACAAAUGUCUAGGAUACCUUUUCAUAUGAAAUGGGAAUUUUUUUAUAUAUAAUAAUUAACAUAAUGGGCAUUAAAUGAUUUGAAAGGUUAUGGCAUUUAGUGGAUGAUUCAAAUGACAAGUCUAGUGGGGGAAAUGAAAAGUCGGGUAGAGGGAUAAUGAAAUAAAUAAAUAAAAAACCGAAGAUGCAUUAGUGGAGGAAAAUCGUGAGUGAGAAAAAUGUAAUGGAAUGAAAUUGGGAUUGUUUGGUACAAUAUAAUAAAUUUAUCUUUUUUUUUUUCAAUUAAGCACUUAAACAUAUAAGCAACAAUUAAUAUAAAAUGUGUCGUCACAAAUAACAUAAUAAAGUAAAAAAAAAAAAAAACAUUGUUUAAAAGAAAUUCGAUGCCUUGCAAAAGUUUUUAAAAAUAAGUGCGCAAAACUUUACCAUCCUAACCAAAACUUUAAUUUGAUCACUUAGGAAGGGUCAUGGCGACAUAAUAACUCAAAUUAUUCUCAAGUCCUACAAGAAUUUUUUUUUUUAAACGCCAAGAGAUAUAUUUUUUUCUCGGUCGCUACAACUCCGAUGUUGAUUGGGCUGGAAAUACCAAUAAUAGAAAAUACACUUCAGGAGGCUAUUUAUAUAUUGGUAAUAUUCUUGUAGCUUAGAUGAGUAAAAAACAAAACUCUAUCUCACUUCCACGGGCGAGGCCGAAUGUAUAGCUACAGUUACUGCUCUCAAUUACUUUGGAUGAAGCAAAUGCUGAGCAAUUAUGGGAUUAGUAAGGGAACUAAUACUGUGUUUUGUGACAACACAAGUGCCAUCAAUAUUUUCGAAAAUUUUGUUCAACACUCUUGAACCAAACACAUUGACAUUAGACAUCAUUUCAUUCGAGAGCUUGUAGACCGCUGUAGUGUCCCUUGAACACAUCUAUAUGGAAAACCAACUAGCCAACUUGUUUACCAAACCUUUAGAUGGCUUGAGAUUUGAAUUACUUAGGAAAGCUGUUGGUGUCUAUGUACCUCCUUGAUCAUGUACAUAGGAGCAUGCAUGUAUAGCUCAUUACAUUCACCCAUUCUUGCAUUCACUUCAUUCUAUACAUACAUGUUUUUUCUUUGCCUGUGUUUGUCUCACUAUUGCAUUUCAAUAUUGAACAAAAAAUAGUAAUAAUAAAUUAUGCAGCAUCAUAUUUGUUUCCUUGAAAUUGCAUUUAGAUAAUUAAACAUGCAUUCAAUAAAUGAAUAGUUCCAUAUUUUCAUCAUUUGAUUUAGGUUUAUGUAUAGUUUAUUGUAUAUGUUUCUCCAUAUAUCUUAUCUACACAGCACACACUAUGACCUUAUAAGUGAGUCUUGACCAUAUGUGUGAGAUUUAGGAUGGCUAUUCUCUAUUGAUGAGGUGACCUUGACUGUGAAUUGGUCUGUGAUUAGUGUGAGCUCAUUUUUGGUAUUUUUCCCUACCAAAGUUUGAGAAAUGGUUCUAAUCAUAAUUUAUCUUAUACAUAUAUUCGGAACCUAUUUGACUCGAGCAAUUAAGCCUGAGGAGUUUCUCAUAACCGAGUGCCCUACGGUCAAUUGAUUUAGAGUCAUCGACCCAAAGCUCACUACAAGAGUAAUCUCAGUCGCUUAAUAGAAAUGGGAUUGCACAUAAGAUACAAUUUAUUACAAAAAAUAAAUAAAUAUUGGGUGAUUACUGUUACGGAGAGAAACAAACAUAAACAAAGCAUAUCAAUAUCUAUAGGUCCUAGUAGUGUUGGAUUUGACUUUCAUUGAGAAAGGAAUACACUCAUCUUACAGUGAUCUUAGCAUGUCCCUUUUCACAAAUUUAAGGUUGGAGUCUUGUUUACUUGGAAUUAGUGGCACUCUCACGUAUGGGUCGUACAUACUACUUACUCUGUCUGAACAUGCUUUCUGUGUGGGGAAGCAUUUCUAUUGGUUGAGUGUAUCAUAUUCAUCAUCGAGUGUAUUUAAGGAUGACAUACAUAUUGAAGUGCGUGCCAUGUUUAAAAAAGGUGUUAAAUUUCGAAAAACAAUUGGUGCUAUUUUUGUCAAAUGUUUUUGCUCGCCUAGCACAAGGGCUUCGCUCAAACGACGAAAUCAGUAUGCUUCUAGCUUGCUUCUUGCUCGAGGUUUGCUCGAGUGACAAGCUAGUUUCAUGCUUGCCAAGUGCUUAACGCAUUGCCUAUACCAUGUGUUUGCUCAUGUUUGAACACACAUUUUCCCACUAUCUUAAGCACGAUGUCAUAACCAUGUCUACCUCUUCAUGUCUCAUAUUUGUCUCGAUUUGCAUUGGCUUUCACGUCAAUGACAUGUCACACACGAUGUACCCGACGUCUUAAUGAUGUGUCCGUAUGCGUCUUGACAUCGCAUCAUCACAUGUCUACCCAUUAUGUCUACCUGCAUCUUGCUGUCAUGUUAUCAACUUCUAAACAGUGCAUGGCCUUCGUCCAUGUCUCAUGGCACUUUGGUGGGUCGCUAUUAUGUAUUUUUCUACAUUUUUGCAUCAGUUUUUGUGUUUUCCACAAUUUUACAUCAUUUUGCGUGAUUUCCACCAAAAUUGCAUCAUUUUGCGCGUUUAUGUCAGUUUAUGCAUGGUCGUGUGUGCUUUUGUCUCUUUUUUAACAUUGUUUUACAUGCUUUGGAUGCUUUUUUCAUUACUUGACAUAUAAGUUCAGGUAUUUUACAUAGAUUUGUGUGCUUUACAUAGUCUUUGCCUCAUUUUCCGAGCAUUGAUGCUCAUCAUGCCUUAGUGGUCUACGAGGCUUAUAGUAUCCAAGUUUCGUCUCUUGGUUUCUUUUACUUGCUUAUUGUUAUAGAGGCAACUAAGACAGCUUGGACUCCUGUACAGCCAUUGAGUGGAUCGACUUCUUACAGUAGGUUUAGGUUCAUCUCCUCUAUUGCUUAGGAGGUUUUUGGGUCUUAGUUCUCCCUUCGUCCCGUUUUUGUAGAAUCACCUUUCGAAAAUUUUUCUCGAUUUACGACCAUAUUCACUACACGGGUUGGGAGCCCCUUCUGAUGGACUUUUCACCUCUGCCUAGUCUCCUAGUUCAGGAGUACUAUGCGAAUAUUCAAAUUGUUAGUAGGCGUACAUUUAGGGUUUUCCUUAGGGGUAUGACUAUUAAGAUCACUCCGGAUGUCAUUUCUAGUACUAUGCAUAUUCCUCGAGUCGUUCAUCCCCUAUUCCCGUAUUUAUCUACUGACACCCUCCCGGCUAAUUUUCUUGUUCGAUCGACGUUGUUGAACAGUCCUUUGGAAGGGGUCUGACUACGAUCCGUAUGUGAUCUCUUCCUAUUGACCACCAGAUUUUGUUGUACAUUGUGUGCACAAAUUUGUGGCUGGUCCUAACACUUAUUCCUUACCUAUGGAGAAGGCAAGGUUUCUUUAUGCACUAUUGUAGGUGACUCUAUUGAACUGCCCACUUAUAUUUGUCAUCAUAUUUUACGUAACUUUAUAAUGCCAGGUCAUAAGAUUGGUGUUUCUUUCGUUUGCCUGAUUCAUUGCCUGGUUACAUCUCUUAGGGCCACAUUCCUAGAUGGUGUCUUGGGUCGGGUUUGUCGUCCUAUUGGUCACGUAGUAUCCCAGAGUCGAUCCCAUGUUCCUUCGUCUUCUGUUCCUACUGAGGCUGCUGAUCCAACAGUACCUGCUAAUCCUAAUGGUGAUCUUCUCUCAGAUGAUCCAUCAGAUAUCCCUAUCCCUCCAUCUCAGCUUAUUGUUCUUAUUGAUAUUCUGUCAUCCUCUACAUUUGUUCUACAUCUAUCUGUUGAUUCCAUUCUAGCAUUUGCUUCUAUUACUAUUGAUUCAUCAGUUGGUCAAAUGUUUGUGCUCAUCGAGCAGCAGGCUCAGAUGAUGGUCAAGAUCACACAAUUGAGAGUUGCUUCUGAGCGUCACACCGCCGAGUACACUACCCUUCAUGGUGUGAUACAUAAACAACAAAGGAUUCAGUGGAUGUGCGAUGAGUCUAAUGAUGCUAAUGAUGCUGCUGUUGAUUAGUAGAAAGGGUUCUCCUUGUCAUUUGUGACAAAAGGGGGUAGAUCUAGAUGGUAGAUUGACAUUUUUUUGAGAUACAUUGCUAGAUUAAGUUUUGAUGUUUUGCAAUAUUGAUGUAUGUUCUUUUUGGUGCUUUGGCAUACAUUAAUAUUUUUUUCUUAAUCUAGCUAAUAUGAUUUUACAUUUAUUGAUAACUUUCUUUAAUUACUUUUACUUAUGUUACUAUUUCAUGUGCUUAUACAUUUGGUAUGGGAGUUGUAAUUUCAGGAAACAUGUUUCAUAAUAGCGAAGCAAGAGUCAGUUGUUUUGAGUAGGUCUUGUUAGUUAUUUGUUAUGUAAUGAAUGUUUUGUUAUAGAAUGCCAAACGGGGAGUUUGUUAGUUUUUAAUGUAAUUGGCGAUUCUGUGACCAAAAAGAACGAAAUUGAAAAUGUGUAAAAGUCAAGGAGUUAGAUGCAAUUUUGUAUAGAUGUGUUAGAUAGGCUAAGGUCAAGCUCGGAAUAAGGAAAAAAGAAUCCCAUAAUUUCGCUUGCCUCGCUAACACAUUGCUCAAGAGACAAAAAUAGAAUGGACUUCACUAGCUUGUCGCCAGGAUGUGGCUGAGCAAAACAUUGUCAUUUGCUUUUCGCAUGAGUUCGUAUACAGUAAAAAACUUUAAUUUGUGAUUUUCGAGAAUUUUAACAAGACCAUACUAUCCAAAAAGUCCAUUAUAUAAAUACCUGCACCGUUUGAUGAAAGACCUUGGAUUGAUCAUUGUUAGAAAACACAUACACUAUUCCUUCAUUUAAUCUAUUGAUCCUUGAGUGUGGAAAUUGAAAAACAUCAAAACCCAUAAAUCAAGCACCAAAACCCCGUACUUCUAGAGUACCUGUCAAAGUUGAAGAUCAAGAAAACUAACCAGAGUUUGGAUUGUUAGAGAACAAAUAGUUCUCGGGAAUCCAUGGGAGAUGGAAGAAAUCAGAAAGUCGGGAGUUGGAGCAAACAAUACAGGAGGACUUUGAGAAUUGUAGUCAAAGGUCAGAAAGUACUUAUGUUGGUCGAAUCUGGCAGUCUGUAAGUUAAUUCAUUUAUAGUGGAUUCAUACUGGCUUGGGUUCGGAGUUUUUAAUCCCACGAGGGGUUUUCUCCAUCAUCUUAUACCUUGUGUCAUUUAUUUUUAGGAAAUUUAUUAUAUUGCAGCAAUUCAAUAUAGCCCCUGUUUGAGCCCCAUUAAUUUUCAUUGCAUUACAUUUCAUUUUUCUCUCUCCAAUUUUCAACCACUCAUUUUUAAAAAAAAUAUUAUUCCACCAAUUAAAUUUUCCACGUAAUGGGGGCCAAACAGGGGCAUAGUAUAGAUUACAUUUGAAUUCAUCUGGACUGAUUAAUGAUUAUAACUCGUUGCAAUUGUUAACUAAUUUGUUUAAAUUCUGCAUAAUUGUUCACCCCUCCAGGUGUUAGUUGGGUCGAACUGCAUAAUUUUCAAAAAUAAACUUUGUUGAAAUAGUAUCUUUUGUUCUUACAACAAUUGUUCAUUCUUGUUCAACUUCUUUGAGUCCAAAAAUUAUGCCGUCAUUUUACUAACUCAAAAAAAUCCAUACCAGAUCCAUAAUAUAAAAAGUGAAUUCAUAUAUAUUAACAAAAUUUAGGUCUAUGUGGACUAAUCUUAACAUUUAAUUUCUUUUGUGGCGACUUCAAUUAAUGAAGUUCGCUUGGAUCUAAACAAAUGAUACAUAUACAUCCAAUAUGCACCUAAAUACACUAAAAUAAUAGAAUUAGUACAGAUUGAAAAAUGACAAAGAAUGCCAUAAAACUAUUUAGGCAAAGUGUUGGUAAAGUGGAUUAGUAAUAUUGGACCAAGUAAAGGAAUAGAAGAUAACUAGUCUCAAUACUGUCUACCAAAUAUACAAUUUUUGUUUUGUAUAGUUUAAUCCUAAGUAAUAAAUACCACUUGCUUCCCAAAUUUGCGACCAAAGAAAAGCCUAGGAGAGCUACUGGUGCACUUUCAAGGUCAUCAAAUAUUUCUUCUACAUACAUGUUCUUGCCUUCUAUUAUUUUGGGUAGAAUGGUCUCAAAAAACCUCAAAUAGAGCGUGGAAAUCUUAAAAACCCUUCUACUGUGGUGGCCACAUUUUGGUGUUGGUGCAAACAUGGCAAUUUUCAAGUUUAAAUCAUCCGUUAGGACAAAUUCAUCCCGAGAAUGAAACUUUUGCAUCAGAGCUAUAUGUGGUUCCACCAAGGCCUCUUGGUUCUUGGACUCAAAAUUUUUUCAGCAAUGGCCACAACAUCUCCAGACUCAAACUGCAAUUUUUGGAACAAUGCCAGUGCUAGCACCACCGACAACAACAGCAGAAUGGGUUUUUUUCAAUAAAAUAACUGGCUAAUUGGCUAUAAUCCAUCUCAAUAAAAUUUACUAAUCCUAGUAUACCAUACCUUUAAUACAGUGGCCUUAGAUUGUAAUCCGCCUCCAACACUAUCCAUUGGUUUCAUAUCUUUUGAAAUUAAAUGAUUCCAGAAAGUAGUAAUUACUAUGAUAUAUCAUAGAAAAGAAUAUGACAUUGUUCUGAAUAGUAAAUACAUUAACUAUCUGAAUGUUUGAAAUAGAAUAAAUAAUUGUUUCUGAGAAAUUUAUUACCAAUUGUACUAAAUUUAGACAAGGUGUGCACGAGGAAUGUACGUACUAACUAGUCUACAAGAAGUUAAAUGACAAGUCAACAUAAAUUCUCAAAGUUUGGCAAAAGAAAAUAACUUUUGCUACAACCUUUUUUGAAAUAGUAUCAUUUGUUUUCGCACCAAUUGUUAGUUUGUAUUCAAUUUUUUUGAGUCCAAAAUCUCGUUCUCAUUUUAGUAAUACAAAGAACAUCAUAUAUUGAACUAAAGAUCUGUAUGUACUAAUCUCAACUGUCAAUUUCUUUUGAUUGAAUUUGUAGUAAUUUGGCUGUCUGCAUUCUUAGGUUUUUUUAAUGCUCGGCUUGUGGUGACUUCAAUUAAUUGAAUUUGUUUGGAUUUAAAAGAAAAAAGAAAAAAAAGAUAUAUACAUAUCAAUAUGCACCUAAAUACAUUAAAAUAAUAGCUUUAUUACAUUAAUAAAUAGACGACGCACGCCACUAAAUUAUUUAGGCAUAUUUUUGGUAAGGUGGAUUAGUAAUAUUGGACUACGUUAAGGGAAUAUAAGAUAAAUGAGAAUGGGAGAUAGAGACAAAAAUACCAACACUCUUGAUCCACUAGAACCACUGGAAAACACCACCAUAAUUGGCAGCAACACCCCCCAACAACAUUCAACACACCUCUCCAGUCACUAGAAGCAGAUUUGGAAGGUAUUUGAAUUUACAUCAAAAUACAAGAGGUGAUAUUCCAAUGCACUCAAUUUGGCACCUUUCGAUCAUAAUUUUGCAAAGGGACCACCGCCAAUGAUCUCAAGAGGCCCAAAAACCCUAGCAACAGUGUUGAUGUUGUCCAAUUAGACCAAAAUCAAAACAUCAAAUUUUGUGCAAUUCGUGACUGAUUUUUUAAUUCCUCUUAACCUAGGAUCUACUAAGCUACACGUUAAAUAUUUGUAUUAUCCAUCAUCAAUGCUUCGACGAAAAAUCAGCUUGAUCAAACUCUGGAUGCCAGAUAUCACUAUAAACGUGAACGUCCAGUCGACCAAAAAACUCGAAUUCUGACCGCUACCACUUUAUUUCUAGCCACGUGCCUCAUUGUUAUAUUAGUUUUAAAUUCUAUACCACCAUAUAGAAAUCAUCAAAUUCUAAGAUUGGAGAUCCGAUGGCUGCAUGCUGCCAAAUGCAGUCAUCGGAGGCCCCCGACACUUUUUUGUAGAAUAUAACCUAGUUAGUUUGCACACAAUGUCAUCAUUAAAUUUGUGACUGAGGUCCUCGUACUAACCAACCAAGCUUGGAAGUCCCUUUUUACUAACGAGUUAUAACUCAAGUAGAACGGAGCCAAAGAAAGUCUUUUGCACUCAUUCUAUAGGCUCGACGGGACUCCACUGACCACUGGUUCACUUCUAACGAACCUUUUCUUCAUCAUGGUGAGGUUGUUGUACUAUUUACUUAGGAGGAGAAGAAGGAGCUUCUUUUUGAGCCGUACUAAUUUAUACUUGUUCCCAAAUUCUCUCAUCGUAAGCUUUCCAUGAUUAAGGUACAUGAUAUUUUUCAGAAAUUUGGAUUUCAUAUUGAUUAUAUGAUUGGUCUUUAGAUGCUACACAUAUUUUGAUUCAUAUAGCGCACACAAGGAUUACAAUUCAUAGUCAUUCUUCAAACUAACAUGGUAUAUUGAUGGUUGUCUCAUAUGAUUGAUCAAAUGGACACCCAAUUUUGCCCUCAGGAUGAGACUCUCUUUGAACCUAACUGAAUUACUUUCCAUUAUUCCCCAUUCAUUUCGAGGCAAGAGUAGUUUAUUUGCCUUAUCGAUGAGGGAAAGUCUGACAUACACCAGCCUAAUGAGGUGAGGGUAUGCAUUGAGGUUGACUUGGAGCAUGAGUUCCCCAGUAGAGUCUAGAUUGAAAGGGUAGAUCGUGAUGGUUAUUGGCAAACCGUCUUUUAUGACAAAAACCUAGAGCUAUCGCUUCUUUGUGCUAGUAUUUCCAAUUUCACAAUAAUAAUAUCACAAAUUGUUAAGUAAUUUAUCCAUUUAUACUUGUAUUAUUAUGAUAUAUUGAUGCCUAAAUACACUAAGAACCCUUAUAUUUUGAUUUAAGUUGCAAAUGGAUGAAUACAGUGGAAUUUUGAAGAAAAUUAGCGAAAAAGUAUAAAAAUGGAAGCAAGUGAAAAUUCAGGGUACAAGUUACAAAUAAUCCAAAGAUGAGACGGAUGAUGGAAUGAUGAUUUACAAUGUUAAGGGUCAAUUGGUUGUAAUUAGAAGUCAAAAGAAGUGAAAUAUGACCAUAACAUUUUCACAACUCGAUUUUCAACUGUACAAGAAUGUUCCAAAUUUUCAGUUAGAGAUUGUAAUCCAUUUUUGACCUAGUAAAAUUUCGAAUUGCAAAAUUCCGACAAAAUUGUAUCUCUUUUUGUUGGCUUUCCAAUGUACUUUGAAUCACCUCAAUCGGAUACUGAAAGAGAAAGUUAUGGUCAAAAUAUUGAAAGCUAUUCGGAGAAAAAACAUUAUAACUACGCGGUUGCAUAGUUUAAAAUGUAUGCGACCACAUGGCUAUUCUCAGAGAAUCACAAGGCCAUUUUUUGGUGAACUAUGCGAUCGCAUAGUAUAAUCCUGACGUGAGUUUUCUGGUUUCCUCAUUUCGUUCGACCACUUGUGGUAACAAUUCAAGACAUGAUUUUUAAGCCCCAAUUCACCCCAGAAUGAAAGAGAACGCCUCCAUAUACUCAUUCCUCUCAUAUUGAUGCUCAAGAGACUCCAUGAAAAAUUAAAUUGAGGGUGAACCUAGGAAGGAACUGUUUGGAUUUGGUGAUUUCACAUCCAUUAUUUCAUGUAUUCUGGUUUGUCAUUGUUAAACAAUUCUAGACUUUAGAUUUUCAUCUUACGAAUUUACAUUGAAAUUCGUGGUUUAACACUUAUAAGAUUUUUCAUGGAUACAACCAUGCUUUUCCAUUGUUAAAUUAAACUAUUUGUUGAAUUUCAAUUUCAAUUACUUAUUGUUGAGAUUGAUUUAACUUUUAUCAAAUCCUUUAUAGAUCUAGUCAUGCUCUUUCUAUUGAAUGAUUGAAAUAAUUGUUGAAUUUUAGUCUUAAUAUAACUUUAUUGGUGGAUUGAUUACUACUUUAUGCUUGAUGUAUAUGGUUGAUCUUUGAUCUUGUUCCAAUAAAAAUGUGCGAAUGUGUUAUAAGUCUAGAUUCUAGGAUUCAAUUGUAAAUUAAAUUUAUUUUUAUUGUUAAAUCUUCCAAUUAGAGGGUUGGGAUGAAAAUUCUCUAAUUGAGUUAUAAAAAUGAAUAAUAGAUGUGAUUGACCCAAUCCAAUUGAGAGAAUUUCGACGCUUCGUCAUCUCGAGACAUUAAUCUUAAUUUCAUUACUUUAACAUUGAAUUCUCCUACACAUUUCAAGGGGACAAUCAACCUUUUUGGAUUCUUUGAGUGAGUUUCCAUCUCCUUGUAAAAUCGACACCCCAAAGUUGUAUUACAUUUACUACAUUAUUCUUUGGACAUAAUCAAAUUUUGGCGUCGUUACUACAGAGACGGUACAAGUAACCAAGGGAUCGACUGAAAAUGGGUGACAUCGUUCCUUUACUUUUAUUUUUACUUGAUUUAAUUUUUCUCAUUGUUUUUUUUUUGUUUUCACAAAUUUUCUUUGUUUUUGAUGUUUUAUGAGCAGGAAUCGAGGCGAUUAAGGGAGUUCUAUUGCGGAACCUUUUAUAGUGUUUGAAUCUCUCUAUAACCCUUUCUUUGAUACUACAUCUAUUGCUAGGAAAACCACACUACAUAGCACCAUGUCUAAUAGUGAGCAUGGCGGUGCGCCUUGUAGUACUUUAUAGGAUUAUCAUCAUCCCACAUGCAUAUCCACAUCAUCAUGCAUAAUGUUUCCAUCUAAUAUGCCACGUAUGGAGCCUAAACCGGGAAUGAUUCAACUUCUUUCCACUUUUCAUGGACUUGACAAUGAAAAUCCAUACGUGCACAUUAGGAAAUUUGAGGAAGUGGUUGCAACCUUUCACAAUCAACAUGGUAUAACAAAUGUAGUCAGGCUUAUAUUUUUUCUUUUACAUUUAAAGAAAGUGCAAAAAGCUGGUAGUAUUCGUUGAGACCACUUUCGAUUGGCACUUGGCCUUAAAUGACUUGAGUAUUUUUCAACAAAUAUUUUUCCCAUCAUAAAACUAACGCCCUUAAGAAGCAAAUUUUCUCAUUCACUCAAAAGGAUAGUGAGACCUUAUACUAAGCAUGGGAAAAAUAUAAAGAACUACAAGCCCUUUGCCUCCACCAUUGUUAUGAGAGUUGGUGUAUAGUGAGUUAUUUCUAUGAGGAAUUAACACCGAGGGAGCGUCAAUUUGUAGAGAUGAUGUGUAAUUGUGAUUUCUUGUAAAAAGAUCCAGAUGAGGCCAUAGAGUAUUUAGAUGAGUUAGCUGAAAAGGCUUAUACUUGGACUAGACCCAGCCCUACUGAAAGUAAUAAUAGGUCACGACGCAUAGGAAACCCACUAGCAUAGGUAUUUAUCAUCUUAGAGAGGAGGAUAGCCUUAAACCCAAAGUAGAGGCCCUCACUAGAGAACUUGAAACGUUGCGUGCUAAGGACUCGAAGCCUACACAAACUAUUUCCCGUGUUGAAUCUCUAGGACCUUGUUUUGUUUGUGGUGGAGUAGAUCACCCAGCCCCAGAGUGCACUGUUUUAACUAAGAUGAGAGGGGUUUAUGAGGAACACCGCAAUGCCUUAGGCACAUAUAACAAGCCCUAUACUCCUUUUGAAACUUAUAAUCCUGGGGGGUGGAUUCACCCUAAUUUUAGCUGAAAAUCUGAAACCCAAAAAUCUGCCUUGUCAAAUAGAGCCUACACUAAAUUGCUUUCAUAGAGGCACAAAGUAAGAUAAUAAAAAUUUUGAGACUAUGAUUACCCAGGUAAUUGUUGAAAACAAAAAAAUAAAAAAUCAUAUGUCCAAAUUAACAAAUGCCUUAGCAGUUGUGGAACGUGGGAGAUUUCUAACUCAAGCUCAAAUGAAUCCAAAAGGGCAGUACAUGGCACAAACCUCAGGAUCAAAAGACAAUAAUCUUACGAAAGUUAAUGCCAUAACCACUUCAUCAGGGAAAGUCCUAAAACCAACCCCCAUGCUUAGGAAAAAUGAAAAUGAGUCUAGGGAGUCGAAUGAGAGAAGCCCUAGAGAGGAAGUAGUGGAAAAUCCAGUCAGAGUGCCUUUUCCUCAACCUCUUAAGCUUACCUACAUCGAAAAAUGCCGGUCAACAUGGUUAGAUUUUAGAGUACCUAAAACAAGUAAAAAUCAAUUUGCCUAUCUUGUAGGUGAUUUCUCAGGUCCCUACAUAUGCGAAAGUCGUCAAGGACUUGGUCAUUAUGAAAAUGAAACAUCAUGUCCAGAAAUCUUCUUUCUUGACUAAGCAAGUGAGUGUUGUGAUUGAGCAAAGGAUCCCACCAAAAUAUAAGAAAUUUUCCUAUUAUGUCUUGGAUUAUUGGGACCAUGAGUUUGUACAAGCUCUUCUUGAUUUAGGGAUUAGUGUUAAUCUCAUGCCUUAUGUUAGGUGUAGGUGAGAUAAACCCACUUCUAUGGUUCUACAAUUAUCUGAUCGAUCCACUAUAAGUCCUCGGAGAAUAGUUGAGGUUAUGUUAGUUCAAAUUGAUAAAUUUUACUACCUCGUUGAUUUUUUAGUUUUGGAUCUAAAGGUUGAUGUAAAUG